rnacentral:lncRNA from 1 species
CAGGAGAAGUUUCUGGAAGGACUGAAUGAUGAGUUGAGCAUGCAGUUGAUGGUAGAAACCUUCAACAACUACCAGGAGUUGGUAGAUCGUGCUCUUAUGAUUGAAGGGAAGCAACAGCAGAUUGAGAACCGAAAGAGGAAGUAUGGACAAGGGAAGUACAAUUCUGGAGCUCAGCAGAAGCCACGUUUUACCCCUAGACCGGGGGGACAUUUUCAGCAUACCCAUGGAGGAGGUAGCUCACACAAUCAUAAUGGCCCCAAGAAUGGUAAUGGGAAUGGAGGAAGCAACGGCCAGAACCGUACCAACCCAUCAACCCCAGCCAAGAGAGACCUGAGCCAAGUCACUUGUUUUAAGUGCCAGAAGACCGGACAUUAUGCCAAUGAAUGUCCUGAAUCCCAGAAUGGAAAUGGCAAUGGAAGCUCUGGGAAGAAGCCGAACCCUUUCAAUAGAGGACAGGUGAACCACGUUAACGUGGAGGAGGUUGAAGAGCAGCCGGAUGCAGUAAUCGGUAAGUUUUUGGUUAAGUCAUUUACUGCACUCGUUCUUUUUGAUACUGGUGCAUCGCAUUCAUACAUCUCAAGGGGAUUUGUGGAUAAGUAUAAACUACCAACCCAAGCCCUUAGGUCACCCAUGUUAGUAACCUCCCCUGGAGCAGAGUAUAUGGCUAGUCUAUGGUGUGAUCGGUUACCAUUAAGGAUUGGUAACUACGUAUUUCCCUCAGACGUAAUACUAUUGGAAUCUCAAGGAUUGGAUGUGAUAUUAGGCAUGGAUUGGUUAUCGAAGUAUGAAGGGAAUAUUGAAUGCACUAGUAAGUCAAUUUUGCUUACAACGCCAGAAGGAAGAAGGAUCAAGUAUGUAUCCCGGCAUGUGCCAAAGAGGACUCAAGUAAAUUCCCUAACAGGAGUUGUGCAGGAGGAAGUACCAGUGGUAAAGGAUUUCCCCGACGUAUUUCCAGAGAGGUUGCCAGGCAUGCCACCAGAUAGAGAUAUUGAGUUUUUGAUUGAGCUUUUGCCAGGCACAGGGCCAAUAUCUAAGAGACCAUAUAGGAUGCCCGCAAAGGAUUUGGAAGAGAUUAAGAAGCAGAUUAAAGAGUUAUUGGAUAAGGGUUAUAUUCUCCCAAGUUCUUCACCUUGGGGAUUGCCGGUACUUCUAGUGGAGAAGAAGGAUGGAUCGUUAAGGAUGGUUGUUGAUUAUCGAGGAUUGAAUGAAGUAACCAUCAAGAACAAGUAGCCACUACCGAUGAUCAGUGAUGUGUUUGAUCAAUUGCAAGGAGCUAAGGUAUUUUCCAAGAUCGAUCUGCGAUCAGGAUACCACCAGUUGAAGAUUCGAGAACAGGAUAUACCUAAGACAGCUUUUACCACCAGGUAUGGGUUGUACGAGUAUAUCGUUAUGUCAUUUGGUCUGACUAACGCACCCGCAUAUUUUAUGAACAUGAUGAACAAAGUAUUUAUGGAGUUCUUGGACAAGUUCGUCGUAGUGUUCAUUGAUGAUAUCCUAGUUUACUCAAAGAAUGAAGAGGAGCAUAAGGAGCAUUUGCGUUUGGUACUUGGAAAGCUCAGAGAACAUCAGCUAUAUGCUAAGUUUAGCAAAUGUGAGUUUUGGUUGAAGGAAGUUGGAUUUCUCAGACACGUUAUAUCCGGAGAAGGUAUAGCAGUAGAUCCCACUAAAGUUGAUACCGUGACCAAGUGGGAAGCACCAACCACUGUGGGAGAGAUCCGGAGUUUUCUUGGACUCGCAGGAUACUACCGGAGGUUUAUUGAGAAUUUCUCAAAGAUUGCGAAGCCUGUGACUGAGUUGUUGAAGAAGGAUACCAAGUUCAUAUGGACGGAGGAAUGUGAAGCCAGUUUCCAUGAGUUGAAGAAAUGUUUGGUUACAUCACCAGUGUUGAUUUUGCCAGAUCAGACCAAGGAUUAUGAGGUGUAUUGCGACGCUUCACGUCGAGGACUUGGAGCAGUGCUUAUGCAGGAAGGAAGAGUUGUUUCAUAUGCCUCACGACAGCUUAAGCCUCAUGAGUUUAAUUAUGCCACGCAUGAUUUGGAGUUAGCAGCCGUAGUGCAUGCGUUGAAGACUUGGAGACAUUUUCUCAUUGGAAACCAUUGUGAGGUGUACACGGAUCACAAGAGUUUGAAGUAUAUCUUCAUGCAGAAGGAGUUAAAUCUCAGGCAGAGGAGAUGGUUGGAGCUCAUCAAGGAUUAUGAUAUGAGAUUGCAUUAUCAUCCCGGAAAGGCUAACGUAGUAGCUGAUGCAUUGAGCCGUAAAAGCCAUGUCAACACUCUAAGGACGGGAGAUUUACCAAGAGAGUUAGCCGAGAAUCUUCAUGAGCUAUGUUUGGAAAUAGUUCCGAGAGGCUAUGUAGCAGCAUUGGACAUUCAGUCUACUUUGAUGGAUAAGAUCAGAGAAGCUCAAAGGACUGACAAGGAGAUCGCUUCUAUUAAGGAGAAAAUGACCAAAGGAAAAGCUAAAGGAUUUCGUGAGGAUGAGCAUGAUACCUUAUGGUUUGAAGACCGUGUUUAUGUGCCUAAUGACCCGGAGAUCGGGAAGUUGAUUCUACAAGAGGCCCAUGAUUCACCAUAUUCGAUUCACCCAGGAAAUACCAAGAUGUAUCUGGAUUUGAAGGAUACUUUCUGGUGGACCAGAAUGAAGAAGGAUAUUGCGGAGUAUGUAGCAGUUUGUGAUGUAUGUCAGAGAGUAAAGGCAGAGCAUCAGAAGCCAGUCGGAUUGCUACAACCAUUGCCAAUACCCGGAUGGAAGUGGGAUAAGCUAGGCAUGGAUUUUAUUACGGGAUUGCCCAGAACUCGUUCAGGCUAUGACUCGAUUUGGGUAGUAGUCGAUCGUUUGACAAAGGUAGCUCAUUUCAUCCCAGUGAAGACUACCUAUACUAGUGCCAAGUUGGCAAAGAUAUACAUGACCAGGAUCGUAUGUCUGCAUGGAGUUCCAAGGAGAAUUGUAUCAGAUAGAGGAACCCAGUUUACCUCAAAGUUCUGGAAUCAGUUGCACGAAACUUUGGGUACUAGGCUAGAAUUCAGUACAGCUUUCCAUCCGCAGACAGAUGGACAGACCGAGAGAGUCAAUCAGAUUUUGGAGGAUAUGCUGAGAGCUUGUGCGCUAAAUUAUGGAUCUAGUUGGGACGACAAUUUUCCAUAUGCAGAGUUAUCUUACAACAACAGUAAUCAAUCCAGUUUGAAGAUGGCCCCUUUUGAAGCCUUGUACGGAAGGAGGUGCAGAACCCCGUUGUCAUGGGAUGAAGUUGGAGACCGACAGUUGUUUGGACCGGAUCUGAUUAAGGAGUCUAAAUAGAAGGUGAAAUUGAUUUGCGAUAGGCUCAAGGUAGCCCAGUCCAGGCAGAAGAGCUACGCAGAUUCUAAACACAAGGAGACAGUUUAUGAAGCCGGAGACCGAGUUUAUCUUCGAGUAUCUCCACUUCGAGGAGUUAAGCGCUUUGGAGUUAAGGGAAAGUUAGCGCCACGUUCUAUAGGACCAUACAAGGUUUUGGAGCGUAUGGGAGAAGUAGCCUACAAGUUGGAAUUACCCGAAGGAUUGUCAGGAGUUCAUGACGUGUUCCAUGUUUCCCAGUUAAAGAAGUGCCACGCGGAGAUGGUUGAUAUACCGCUGAGAGAUACAGUGCCGCUAGAAGCGAUUCAGUUGGACAGUGAUUUGACCUAUGAGGAGAAACCAGUUAAGAUUCUUGAGUAUGCCAGCCGAGUAACCCGCAGCAAGGUAAUCAAGUUUUGCAAAGUUUAGUGGAGCCACCACACGGAGGAUGAAACCACCUGGGAGCGAGAGGAAGAUUUGCUGAAGGACCACCCUCACCUAUUUUCUAGCCAACCCGAAUCUCGAGGGCGAGAUUCAUCUUAAGGGGGGGUAGGUUUGUAACAUCCCAAAUUUUCAAUUUGGAAUGUUAUACAAUAGAUCAUCAAUGCAUAUCAUAUUUAUUUGCCUUUUGGGUUGAUCCUAGAAAUUCUACGCAACUCAAGGACCCUCGGAGAGAGUUGGGGAUUUCGUUAUUUUCAUAUUUGAGUUUUCUCAAAUUUUGAAAAUAGGAUCAUUUGAUUUUAUUUAUUUUAUCUCCAAUUAUUUCUAUUAUAAAAAUAUGAGAGAGGGAAUAAAAUUACUUUCCCAAAAUAAAGAAAUAUUGAGGAUUUAAUAAAAAAUCAAAUAAGGUUUUAUUCUCGAGAUUUUCGUGGUUUUAUUUGAAUUUAGGAAAAAUUGCAUUUAGGGCCAAGAAAAUAUUCAUCCUGUUCUAAAUAUUUUAUUUAGACGGUGAAAAUUUGUUUUGGCAAUUUUAGAUUUUUAUUUAUUUUUCUAGAUUUUUUCUUAGUUUCGGCGAAAUUGUUUUUUUUUAAACAGCGCCCGACUGGGCCAAAGGCCCAGCCGAGCCAGGCCACCGCCUCCCUCGCCGAGCUGUCGCUGGACUUGGGGAGACCGAGCCGGGCACGCCUCCGUCGCCGACCCCCUCCCCAAGCAAGGCCGCCGACNNNNNNNNNNNNNNNNNNNNNNNNNNNNNNNNNNNNNNNNNNNNNNNNNNNNNNNNNNNNNNNNNNNNNNNNNNNNNNNNNNNNNNNNNNNNNNNNNNNNNNNNNNNNNNNNNNNNNNNNNNNNNNNNNNNNNNNNNNNNNNNNNNNNNNNNNNNNNNNNNNNNNNNNNNNNNNNNNNNNNNNNNNNNNNNNNNNNNNNNNNNNNNNNNNNNNNNNNNNNNNNNNNNNNNNNNNNNNNNNNNNNNNNNNNNNNNNNNNNNNNNNNNNNNNNNNNNNNNNNNNNNNNNNNNNNNNNNNNNNNNGACCAAGACGAGGUAGCCGCCCCGCCGCCCGGUUUUCUAAGAAAAACUGAUUCGUUUUUUUUUUAACCUAGCUUCAUUUUUUUAAUAGAUCGGUUUUUUCGGUUUGUUUAUUUAGCGAGCGUUCACUCGUCCGUUCAUUUUAACGAACGUGUUCAUCGUUUAGUUCCAAAAAAUGAAUGUUUGUUCGUUAUUCUGUUCGUCGUUUUUCUUUUUCUCAGAUUAUUCUGUGAUUAUUUUUGAUCGCGAUUUCUGAUCUGAUUUUCGUUCUAGUUUAACUUUUCGCUCGUUUAUCGGAAUCAGGCGAUUCAAGCGCCUGGAGUUUCGUCUCGAAACCCUCUUUCCGUUUAACCAAAUCAAACAAGUUUUUGCCUCGGUAAAAUUUGACCUAGAUCCAGAAUAGUAAACGAAGCUUGUUUCUUUCGCCGUUGUCUUUCGUUGCUUCGUUUGAUUUGAUUCUUUUUGUCAACCGGAGUUCUUAAGUUGAACUAUCUGGUUAGAUCUCUUAUUCGAGUUUUACCUAUGCAUUAAAUGAGUACUUAUUGUAUGCUUGUUUGUUUGCGAUAGAGUACCCGGAGUGCGCCGCUUGCUACUUCGAAUCGCUAGGUUUUGCGGAUCAUCGACAAGGCAAGUAACACUUUGAUCAUACCUCCUACUACCCAGUUUUUAUUGCAUUGGAUCAAUCCUCACACCAUUGCAUGAUUAGGAUCUAAUUAAAUUAUGGGUUUGGGAAGUAGAUGAGGUAGUACCUAUUACCUGUUUUAUUAUCAAACCUUUGGGAGUUACUUCUACGUUUGCUUGUUAUGCCAUGCUAUGCCAGUAGACGUGGAUUGGGUGAGUGUAUCCAUGACAGAUGUGAGAUUUUUAAAUUAAUGGUUUACUUAAGGUGGCAACCUAAACACACAUCUGGGUGGAUUGAGGCACCUAGCUAUUCCAGCGAUUGCCUGUUUUUCUUUUGGACCACCACCCAGGCUCAAAGGGAUCGUGAGAUUAUUCAUACUAGAAACUUCUGUGUGUAGCCACAAGCUACUAUGGGCUCUAGCAUAGUUGACUAAGUCAUGCGAACUCUUACAUUGGUAGACUAGCAGAUGUAGGGGAUGUAGGUUGGUACGGUCUACUCGUUCGUAAGGUGCAAGCGCUUCUGAAAGACUAUGUCUCGGUCAUCCGUUUCUCAAACAUCAUGUAGUGCGAGAAUCCCAGCGGAGGAGAUCGAGUCUUGUGGGGAAAAGUGCGCAAACCUCUGCAGAGUGUAUAAACUAAUCAUGGUUAGCCGUGUCCCCGGUUAUGGACGUUUUGAGUAUCUAGUACUUGGAUUAUCAUGUGAAUCUCAUCAUGUUACUCUAAAUUAAUUUUGUUGGGUUUUAAUGAUGAUGCUUAAUUGGGAUUGAGAGGGUAUCUACACUCUCAAUGUUUAACAACUAUCAUGAUAGUUAAAUAAAAUUUAUUCCUUUGCAGUAGGGAAAAAUUGGCUUUACGCAAAACUGUAACCAUAGAGCUUACCACCAGCCAAAUAUGCAUGUAGUAUAGCCUUACUCUUUCAUUGCUCUCUAUGUGUUACUUUGCCAGCAUAUUCCAUGUGCUGGCCCGUUUUGGGCUGCAACGUUCAUGUUGCAGAAUUUUCAGACGAUGAGUAAGGUGCCUUUAGGUCGUGGUUCUAUACUUAGUGAUGCCGUUGGAGUUGAUGGACUCACUUAUCUUCCAAGCCUUCCGCUGUUAUCGUUAUUAGAUGGCCUUAAGCCAUAUUUAUUGUAAUAAGUUCUCUUUUUAGGCACUCGAUGUAAUAAGUGUGUGAUUCCUACUCUGUUAUAAAUCCUUCAAGUACUGUGUGGUGUCAGCAUUACCGAUCCAGGGAUGACACCGGAGCACAGAGAUUAGACUGUUUGGGUCUGGUCGCUACAGGUCGCUGGCGAGGAGGCUGAGCUGCCAGUAAGCAGCAUUGAAGGUUUGAACUUGGAAAGCAAGGAGGAACAGUGGAGAUGUGGCUUUUGGUAGGAGGGAGGGGGCGGGGAGAUAGAUAUUUCCCCGGUGGCCAAAAAAUUUCGCUCGGUGCCGCGAGAAACUGGCGCGCAAGUGUGGUUCAAGCGGGGCGGUGGACUGAAGACAACAAAACUUCCUGCGUAAGCCAGAUAAGAUGGUGCACCAAGAUAUUUUAUAUCGCAUCCCACAUGAUUCUUUCUAGUAAACUGUUUGUGGUAUACCUAAUUUUUUCAUUAUCUUUUGGAAGACAAAAUGGUGUUACGAAGGGAAAGAAUGGUGUUUGAAUUGCUAGAACAUUUACGUACAGUGAACAUGCAACUAGUACACGAGUGUCGUGUUUAAAUUUGGAAUUAUUCUGGGUUCAUAUGACAUUUUUAUGCAUUAAUUGAGUUUCUGGGCAUUUAAUGUGCAUAAUUCAAAUUUGAACUACAAGCACAUGCUCCAAUGCACCAAAGUUUGCUAAAAAAAUCACAUGUGUGUCUUCGGGUGAAUUUAUAGGUCCCAUGUAAGAAAUGGGAAUAAAAUUCAAACAUCUGGGUGUCAUGGCUCGGCCGGAAUGAUUGAGAAACAUGGUUUUUUAAUUCCUAUAAAUCCAAAACACGACUAAAAAUUAUGAAACUUGGCAUGGUGUCAUGACAUGGCACCAACAUUGCUGCAAUAAAUUUUUUGGCCGAAUUGCUUUGGUGUAAGCUUCUUGCAAACCGGAGCUUCCCUCAAGAAGGCUCCUGGUUCAGAGAGGGGACGUGUCACCUUCAUGUGCGAAACGACAUACGUACACUACCUUCUCCCACUUUAAUUUUUUUACACAGACAGAUUAGACCAAAUAGAAGUACCGUGCUAAAUUUUGGAAUUAUUCCGGGUUCGUUUCGCCUUUUUUAUACAUUAAUUGAGUUUCUGGGCAUUUAAUGUGCAUAAUUCAAAUUUGAACUACAAGCACAGGCUCCAGUGCACCAAAGUUGUUUGAAAAAUCACGUGUGUGUCCUUGGGUGAAUUUCUAGGUCCCAUGCAAGAGAUGAGACUGAAAUUCAAACAUCUGGGUGUCGUGGCUCGGCCGAAAAGAUUGAGAAACUUGGUUUUUUUAAUUCCUAUAAUUCCAAAACACGCCUGAAAAUCAUGAAACUUGACAUGGCCUCAUGACAUGGCACCAACACACUGUGGUAAGUUUUUUGGCCGAAUUGGGACAAGCUUUGGUGUAGGCUUCUUGCAAACCGGAGCUUCCCUCAAGAAGGCUUGUGGUUCCGAGAAGGAACGUGUCACAUCCGUGUGUGAAACGACAUACGUACACUGCCUUCUCCCACCUUAAUUUUUUUACACAACCAGAUUAGACCAAAUAGAAGUAUCGUGCUAAAUUUUGGAAUUAUUCCGGGUUAGUUUGGCCUUUUUUAUACAUUAAUUGAGUUUUGGGGCAUUUAAUGUGCAUAAUUUAAAUUUGAACUACAAGCACAGGCUCUAGUGCACCAAAGUUGUUUGAAAAAUCACAUGUGUGUCUUUGGGUGAAUUUCUAGGUCCCAUGCACGAGAUUGGAGUGAAAUUCAAACAUCUGGGCAUCGUGGCUUGGCCAGAAAGAUUGAGAAACUUGGUUUUUUAAUUCCUAUAAUUCCAAAACACGCCUAAAAAUCAUGAAACUUGGCAUGGUGUCAUGACAUUGCAUGAACAUGUGGCGGUAAUUUUUUUGGCUGAAUUGGGACAAGCUUUGGUGUAAGCUUCUUGCAAACCGGAGCUUCCCUCAAGAAGGCUCGUGGUUCCGAGAGGGAACGUGUACCUCCGUGGGACGCAAGACAUACGUGCACUGCCUUCUGUCGCCUUAAUUUUUUUAGACAGCCAGAUUAGACCAAAUAGAAGUACCGUGCUAAAUUUUGGAAUUAUUUCGAGUUCGUUUGGCCUUUUUUAUACAUUAAUUGAGUUUCUGGGCAUUUAAUGUGCAUAAUUCAAAUUUGAACUACAAACACAUGCCCCAGUGCACCAAAGUUGUUUAAAAAAUCACAUGUGUGUCCUUGGGUGAAUUUCUAGGUCCCAUGCAAGAGAUGAGAGUGAAAUUCAAACAUCUGGGCGUCAUGGCUCGGCCGGAAAGAUUGGGAAACUUGGUUUUUUAAUUCCUGUAAUUCCAAAACACACCUGAAAAUCAUGAACCUUGGCAUGGUCUCAUGACAUGGCACCAACAUGUUGUGGUAAUUUUUCUGUCCGAUUUGCGAAGGCGCACACAUUAACAAUCAACAAAGUCAUUUUGGAACAAGUGUUGUCACAUUACAAAUCGCAAACACAAGUAUUAUUGAAACUGUGGGCGUUCGACUUACCAAUUACGUGCGACCACGCGUCCCCUUUUUUAUUGGCUAGGAGGUGCCGUGCGGGGUAGCUAUUUGAGUACGGGAGGUGUGCGAUUAGACCCCUGCGCGUGCUCAUUAGGGAGGAGAGCCCUUUUGACCGCUACCCGCCACGCACCUCCCUCCCAACUUCUCCAUUAAUGGCACCCGAGCACAUGUUCUACGGCGUGGCUAUAUGUCUCACUGGACUGAGAUUUAAGAGAGAAAAAUAAAAAUCUGAAAAGAAAGUUUUGCAUGGAUCUUGAUGUAAGAUCCGACGGACCUAUAUGGCAUCGACUGCGACUUAUAGCAAGCAUGAUGAAUAUAAGGACGAUGACAUUGGAUAAUAAUUGUCUUACAUAUUUAUAAACAUAAUUAAAAAGCCACAUGCGGCAACGCCCGAUAUACACAAGGGCAAAAGAAGAAGACAACUAGUCUCCGCAGUGGGCGGCGACGAGCUCUUUCUUGUCCUCAAGAUGCUGGUUGAGAGCAUCCACAGAUUCCUCCACCAGCCUUCUGCGCUCGUUGCGCAGCAUGGCAUUCUCGUCCAUAAGUUUCUCGACGAUGACGUCGGUCCUCUUCAACAAGGCAGUGGUCUGCUCCUGCUGCUCCGCACUUCUAACGAUCUUCGCCCUCAGUAGGUCGCGCUCGGCCUGGAGCUUCGCAUUGCUCUCAUUUAGUUGUCGAAUGACGUCGGUAGACUGUUCAAACGAGGCUUGCAGCUCAUCCUGCAACCACGUCCACCUGGAGAUCUGAUCCAUCUGCCUAAGGAUGAAGGCACGCGCCUGUAAGAGUCCUCGCCUGCCCGUGAGACAUUUUCCUAGGCCGCGGCGGCAAGGGAGUACAUCUCUGCUGCAUUCGCGACGCGGCGGGACAUCUCUUCUGCUUCCGCGGCGCAGUCGGACCAGUCUGCUGCAUCGACGGUGUGGCGGGUCCUCCGUGCUGCUUCGGUGGCGCAGCGGGACCUCUCUGCUGCUAUGGCCGUGCGGUGGGACAUGUAGGCUGCUUUCGCGGUGAGGCGGGACAUCUCUUGUGCUCCCGCUUCCAGGCUCGCCUCUCCCUGGUGGCAAUCUCUCGACCCAGAACUCAUGCUGGCCAUGGCGGACGCAAGGGAACGAUGAUGAAUGACUUGUUUGUUUUUGACUUUUUGUGGAUGAGGAGUUGAGGAGGAAUGUGCAGUCAUCUUGGAGUAGUAGUAUUUAUAACAAUGUAGUAAUAUGCUCCUAAGUGGGAAACCAUUUAGGUUUUGAUCGGUGUGAACGGGUUUGCAAUUUAGAAUGUGACGGGAUGCAUGUUCAAAAUUUACUGACGGUUAUAAGUGUGGCACUAUUCCCGGAAGGCGUAACGUGGGCACGUACGCCUUCUCGGCCGUGUACGUGGCGUUUGCACCAUAGGAUGCACCGCAAUAGGCAAUGUCAGCACACGUCUUGUUCCAACAACCGUGCGCGCUCGUUAUUACCUUCGCGCACGCUUCUUUUAAUUAGAUUGGGUGUUACCCUCUAGCGCACACACGUUGAUCUAUCUAAUUGUUUCAGUUUGUUGUGGCUAAUCGCAAACAGUUCAUCCAUGUGAAGUGUAUGACAUCAAUGGCAGACACUUUGAUCUGGCUUACCUGUUUCUGUUAUGUUGCCUAAUCGCAAACAGUUAAUCAUUCUGAAGCGUAUGCCCUCAAUCACACACACCUUGAUAUGGCCGACCAUUUCUUUUGUGUUGCCUAAUCACAAACAGUUCAUCCGAGUGAACCGUAUGAUGUCUAUCGCACACACCUUCUUCUGGCUGCCCAUUUCUUUUGUGUUGCCUAAUCACAAACAGUUCAUCCGAGUGAACCGUAUGCUCUAGAUCGCACACGCCUUCAUUAGGUUACCCGUUUCUUUUGUUCCGCCUCAUCGCAAACAGUUCAUUGGACUAAGCUGUAUGCCCUGGAUCGCACACGCAACUAAAAUCUGAAUCGUCUUUGAUGCAUCCUCCAUCACAAACGUUUUGCACCUUUUUUGACGGUUUUCAUACACCCCCGUUUGCGAUUAUUGCAUCGCACACAGUUUCUCGAAGGGUCUCUGAUUGUAGUGUCGCGUUAGUAGCAUCCUGCAGUAGUGGAAUCCUACUCUCCUAUAUAUAUAUUCCUAAGACUCAAAAUAGUUUUAUUCUAGACUCAACAACGCCAGUGGUUCGAUCAAAUAGGGGCUCCUAAGUCGGGAUGGCUCUGAUACCAACUUGUAACGCCUAAUAUGUGACUAUACUCCACACGUGUCGGGGCACGACUUGGGGUAUAAGCGCAUAUUGGUAUGGUCGCAAGAGUGGUUGUAUCUUUGCUCAUCUCAUGUACUGAAUAGAUAGAAUACAAGCUUUGGCUUACAGUCGCCAGAAAGUCUCACAAUAUCAUCAAGCUAUACAAUCAUUCAAGAAGAUCACAAAGUUCGACUACGGACGGAAUCAAACGAAUAAAAGACAACCACCCAACCUAAGUCCCGACCAACCCUGCUGGGCACUACUACUGAUCAUCUGGAAAGGAAACAUAGUAAUGGCCAAGGUCUUCGUCAAACUCCCACUUGAGAUCGGUGGCAUCACCUGCAUUAGUCUCGUCGGUACCUGCAACUGUGUUUGUAGUAUCUGUGAGCCACGAGGACUCAGCAAUAUCAAAACCUGCGGUAUCAAGACUAUUUAAGCUCAAAGGUAAGAUGUGUUUAUAUGGUGGAGUUGCAGCAAGCACUAAGCAAAUAUGGUGGCUAACAUACGAGUACAAGAGUAAGAUGAGAAUCUAUGCAACGGACGUAAGCUAGAAGUGAUCAAGAAGUGAUCCUGAACUACUUACGUUCAAACAUAAUCCCAUUGUGUUCACUUCUCGAACCUCGUCGGAAAGAGACCAUAACGGUUACAGGAUGACCCACAAGUAUAGGGGAUCUAUCGUAGUCCUUCCGAUAAGUAAGAGUGUCGAACCCAACGAGGAGCAAAAGGAAAUGAUAAGCGGUUUCCAGCAAGGUAUUCUCUGCAAGUACUGAAAUAAGUGGUAACAGAUAGUUUUGUGAUAGAAUAAUUUGUAAAGAGCAACAAGUAACAAAAGUAAAUAAAGUGCAGCAAGGUGGCCCAAUCCUUUUUGUAGCAAAGGGCAAGCCUAAACAAACUCUUAUAUAUAGAAAAGCGCCCCGAGGACACAUGGGAAUAUCGUCAAGCUAGUUUUCAUCACGUUCAUAUGAUUCGCGUUCGGUACUUUGAUAAUUUGGUAUGUGGGUGGACCAGUGCUUGGGUGCUUCCCUUACUUGGAAAAGCAUCCCACUUAUGAUUAACCUCUAUUGCAAGCAUCCUCAACUACAACAAAAGUAUUAAGGUAAACCUAACCAUAGCAUGAAACAUAUGGAUCCAAAUCAGCCCCUUACGAAGCAACGCAUAAACUAGGGUUUAAGCUUCUGUCACUCUAGCAACCCAUCAUCUACUUAUUACUUCCCAAUGCCUUCCUCUAGGCCCAAAUAUGGUGAAGUGUUAUGUAGUCGAUGUUCGCAUAACACCACUAGAGGAGAGACAACAUACAUCUCAUCAAAAUAUCGACGAAUACCAAAUUCACAUGACUACUAAUAGCAAGACUUCUCCCAUGUCCUCGGGAACAAACGUAACUACUCAUAAAGCAUAAUCAUGUUCAUAAUCAGAGGGGUAUUAAUAUGCAUAUAGGAUCUGAACAUAUGAUCUUCCACCAAAUAAACCAACUAGCAUCAACUACAAGGAGUAAUUAACACUACUAGCAACCUACUAGUACCAAUCCCGGACUUGGAGACAAGAAUUGGAUACAAGAGAUGAACUAGGGUUUUGAGAGGAGAUGGUGUUGGUGAAGAUGUUGAUGGAGAUUGCCCUCUCCCGAUGAGAGGAGCGUUGGUGAUGACGAUGGCGAUGAUUUCCCCCUCCCGGAGGGAAGUUUCCCCGGCAGAACAGCUCUGCCGGAGCCCUAGAUUGGAUCCGCCAAGGUUCCGCCUCGUGGCGGCGGAGUUUCGUCCGAGGAGAUGGCUUAUGAUUUUUUUCCUCAUCGAAAGACUCCAUAUAGCAGAAGAUGGCCAUCGGAGGGCCACCAGGGGGCCACGGGGUAGGGGGGCGCCCAGGGGGUAGGGCGCGCCCCCACCCUCGUGGGCAGGGUGUGGCCCCCCUGGUGAACUUCUUGCACUCAGUGUUUUUUAUAUAUUCUGAAAACGUCUUCCGUGAAGUUUUAGGACUUUUGGAGCUGUGCAGAAUAGGUCUCUAAUAUUUGCUCCUUUUCCAGCCCAGAAUCCCAACUGCCGGCAUUCUCCCUCUUUAUGUAAACCUUGUAAAAUAAGAGAGAAUAGGCAUAAGUAUUGUGACAUAAUGUGUAAUAACAACCCAUAAUGCAAUAAAUAUCAAUAUAAAAGCAUGAUGCAAAAUGGACGUAUCAACUCCCCCAAGCUUAGACCUCGCUUGUCCUCAAGCGAAAGCCGAAAUCGAAAAAUAUGUCCGCAUGUUUAGAGAUAAAGGUGUCGAUAAAAGUAAAAUACGGACAUGAGGGCAUCAUGAUCAUUCUUAGAACAACAACUUACAAAAUUCUUGUCAUAUGAUUUCUUAUGCUAGAGUAAUAAUUCAAUCACAAUUUCAAGUAUGAAUCGUAAACUUCAUUGAAAACUAACAGACUAUAAUCUCAGUCAUUGGAGCAAUUGCAAUUUAUCAUAACAUAGGAAAGAGUCAAUAUAUAAGAGCUUUUCAGCAAGUCCACAUACUCAACUAUCAUAUAGUCUUUCACAAUUGCUGACACUCACGCAAUACUUAUGGGUAUGGAGUUUUAAUCGGACACAGAGAAAGAUAGGGGCUUAUAGUUUUGCCUCCCAAUGUUUUACCUCAAGGGUAAUGUCAACAAUAAUAGUUCAUGAAAACUCACAUCCAAUUAGCCAUAUAUACCAGGAUCUUUCCAACAUACUGUGCUUGCCAAAGGAUAAAAUGUAAAAAGGAAGGGUGAAGAUCACCAUGACUCUUAUGCAAGGUAGGAGAUAAAAGUAAAAGAUAGGCCCUUCGCAGAGGGAAGCAGAGGUUGUCAUGCGCUUUUACGGUUGGAUGCACAAAAUCUUAAUGCGAAAGAACAUCACUUUAUAUUGCCACUUGUGAUAUGGACCUUUAUUAUGCAGUCUGUGGCUUUUAUUUCUUCCAUAUCACACGAUCGUAUAAAGCUUAUUUUCUCCCACACAAAUAAGUCAUACAUAUUUAGAGAGCAAUUUUUAUUGCUUGCACCAAUGACAACUUACUCAAUCCAUAGGUAGGUAUGGUGGACUCUCAUGGCAAAACUGGUUUAAGGGUAUUUGGAAGCACAAGUAGUAUCUCUACUUGGUGCGAUGAAUUCGGCUAGCAUGAGGGAGAAAGGCAAGCUCAACCAUGUUGGAUGAUCCAUGACAAUAUAAUUUAUCUCAGAUGUUAGAAAACAUAACCCAUUAUGUUGUCUUCCUUGUCCAACGUCAACUCUUUAGCAUGUAAUAUUUUAAUGAGUGCUCACAAUCAUAAAAGAUGUCCAAGAUAGUAUAUUUGUAUGUGAAGACCUCUCUUUCUUUAUUACUUCCUAUUAAUUGCAACGAUGACCAAAACUUUGUUUGUCAACUCUCAACAACUUUUAUUCAUCAUACUUUUUCUAUGUGAGCUCAUUACUCUCCAUAAGAUCCAUAUGAUCUCUUUGUUUCCUUUUUAUUUCUUCUCUUUUCUUUUAUUGACUCAAGAUCAUGGCAAAAUAAUCAAGCCCUUGACUCAACACUAAACUUUAUUAUAUAUAGCUCACGGACUCGAUUACAUAGAGGGACCAUAAAGCAAAACUCAAAAAUAGAUCAAGCCAUAAACUUUAUUCUACUAGAUCAAGAUACUACCAAAAGGAUCGAACUAAGAAAAACGUUAAAGAUAAAAGUGAUGGUGAUACGAUACCGGGGCACUCCCCCAAGCUUGGCAGUUGCCAAGGGGAGUGCCCAUAUCCGAUGCUCAGUUCUUCUUUGUUGGUGGAGAAGAUGGAGAUGAUGAUGGAUAGUCACACAUCGAGCGUAAGAGGUCCUCCAGCUUGCAGAUAAUGCCCUUGAGUGCAACAAUAUGCUCCUUCAACAAAAUAUUUUCACGUGUGAGAUACUUGUUCUGUAUACAAGCUAACUCAAUCACCUUGAAAGCUUUGAUCUCAGUUGGGGUAAGAAGAUUGUGAUCAAGUUGAAGGAUGUCUUCUGCUGCCGGAGUGUGAUCCUCCGUGGCCUUCUUGAUCCCUUCAUCCUUGUUGAUCUCCAUGGGUUCUUCCCUCUUCAGCUCUAUCUUCAUUAGCCAAGCAUCGUUGUCACCAUUGUUGGAGGAGGGGGACGACAUGAUGCCUGGCCUUGACGACCCUGACAGGAAACAGCUCGAAACAAGAACAGAGGAUAUUUGCGUGAUACAUAAGUCAAAACCUUCGGGAGAUUAUAUAAUGAAUUUUUACCAACCAAAUUACGUGUCGUGUAAGUAAACGGAGUCCGGAAAGUGCAUGAGGUUCCCACGAGGUAGGGGCGUGCCUAGUAGGGUAGGGCGCGCCCUCCACCCUCGUGGAGGCCUUGUGUCCUUCCCGGACUGUUUCUUAUUUUUUUUAUUUUUCUAAAUAUUCCAAAAUGGAGAAAUAUUGCCUUAAAAAUUGUUUUGGAGUCGGUUUACUUACCGUACCACAUACCUAUUCCUUUUCGAGUCUGAAACGUUCCAGAAAGUGUCCCUUAUGUAUUCCUCCGGGGUUACAGUUUCAAUAACAUUGGUUUCAACAUUUAUGGGAUUACCUGAGAUAUAAUGUUUGAUUCUUUGACCGUUCAGCACCUUCGGAUUUGUGCCUUCGAAGUUGUUGAUUUUUAUGGCACCAGAACGAUAGACCUCCUCGAUGACGUAAGGACCUUCCCAUUUAGAGAGAAGUUUUCCUGCAAAAAAAUCUUAUGUGCAGUUCUAUCCAGCAUGGUGUCCUCCAUAAGCUUCGGAGUGACACUUGCGUAGGAUCUGUUCCUGUUCAUGCUUAGGUACACAACGUCUAAUAACACCAUCUACUCCUUCUUUAUAAAGAUGUGGGUCAUCCCAAAAGUAAUGUCUCAAAUCAUAGAAGAAAUUUUUCUUUUGUUGGUAUGUGAAACUAGGUGGUAUGAAUUUGGCAACAAUGUAAUUAGCAUAAUCAGCAUACCAUGGAGCAGUAUGAGAAGCAUUUAUGACAUUUUGUUGCUCAUCAGGAAAGCUAUCAUCAAUAGGUAGUGGGUCAUCAAGCACAUUUUCUAACCUAGACAAGUUGUCUGCGACGGGGUUCUCAGCUCCCUUUCUAUCAACAAUAUGUAAAUCAAAUUCUUGUAGCAAGAGAACCCAUCUAAUAAGUCUAGGUUUAGCAUCUUUCUUUUCCAUAAGAUAUUUAAUAGCGGCAUGAUCAGUGUGAAUAGUUACUUUAUAAUCAACAAUAUAAGGUCUGAACUUAUCACAAGCAAAUACAACUGUUAAGAAUUGUUUUUCAGUAGUAGCAUAAUUUCUUUGAGCAUUGUCUAGGGUUAUACUAGCAUAUUGAAUAAUGUUUAAUUUCUUAUCAACUCUUUGCCCCAGAACAACACCUACAAGAUAAUCACUAGCAUCACACAUAAUUUCAAAGGGUAAAUUCCAAUCAGGUGGCUGAAAAAUAGGUGCAGAGAUCAAUGCUUUCUUAAGUAUUUCAAAUGCUUCUACACAAUCAUCAUCAAAGACAAAUGGUAUAUCUUUUUGUAAUAAUUUAGUCAGAGGCCGAGAAAUUUUUGAGAAGUCCUUAAUGAACCUCCUAUAAAAUCUGGCGAGACCAAGGAAACUUCUUAUACCUUUGAUGUCCUUGGGGCAUGGCAUCUUUUCAAUAGCAUCAACCUUGGCUUUAUCAACUUCAAUACCUCUUUCAGAAACUUUAUGCCCCAAGACAAUACCUUCAUUAACCAUAAAGUGGCACUUUUCCCAAUUCAAGACAAGAUUAGUUUCUUCACAUCUCUACAAAACUCGAUCAAGCUUGCUCAAGCAAUCAUCAAAAUAAGAUCCAUAGACGAAGAAAUCGUCCCUGAAAACCUCACAAAUCUUUUCAUAAAAGUCAGAGAAUAUAGCCAUCAUGCAUCUUUGAAAGGUAGCAGGUGCAAUACAUAAACCAAAAGGCAUACGUCUAUAAGCAAAAGUACCAAAAGGGAAAGUAAAAGUAGUCCUUGAUUGAUCCUUGGCUGACACAGUUAUUUGAGAGAAACCAGAAUAACCAUCUAGAAAGCAAAAAAUGUGUAUGUUUGGAUAAUCUUUAUAGCAUUUGAUCGAUAAAAGGUAAGGGGUAAUGAUCCUUUUUAGUGGCCUUAUUUAAUUUUUGGAAAUCAAUUACCAUCCUAUAACCUGUAAUAAUUCUUUGAGGAUUCAAUUCAUCUUUAUCAUUAGGAAUGACAGUAAUACCUCCCUUCUUAGGGACACAAUGGACAGGACUUACCCACUGACUAUCAGCAAUGGGAUAGAUUAUACCUACCUCAAGGAGCUUUAGUAUUUCCUUUCUUACCACUUCUUUCAUUUUAGGAUUCAGUCGUCGUUGAUGAUCACGAACUGGUUUAGCAUCUUCUUCCAAAUUUAUUUUAUAUUGUCAUACAGUGGGACUAAUGCCCUUAAGAUCAUCAAGAGUAUACCCAAUAGCAGCACGGUGCUUCUUCAGAGUUUUCAAUAAUCUCUCUUCCUCAUGCUCUGAAAGGUUAGCACUAAUAAUAACAGGAUAUAUCUUUUUCUCAUCAAGAUAAGCAUAUUUAAGAGUAUCAGGCAAUGAUUUAAGCUCAAACACGGGAUCACCCUUGGGUGGAGGAGGAUACCCUAGGAUUUCAACAGGCAAAUUGUGUUUCAGAAUAGGUUCCUGUUUAAAGAAUACUUCAUCUAUUUCCCUUCUUUCAUUCAUAAACAUAUCAUUUUCAUGGUCUAGCAAAUAUUGUUCUAAAGGAUCACUAGGAGGUACGGCAAUAGAAGCAAGGCCAAUAAUUUAAUCCUUACUAGGUAAUUCUUCUUCACGGUGUUGUCUACUAAAUUUAGAGAAAUUAAAUUCAUGACCACUGUUCAAGAUAUCUUCCGAUAUUCCAAUAAAUCGGCCGAUUUAUCGCUUACCGUGGUCUGACCGAUAAGAUAAAUCGGGCGAUAAAUCAGCCGAUAUGGCGAUAAAUCGGCCGAUAUGCCGAUAAAAUGGCCGAUUUACCCCUUAUCAUAGGUCGACCGAUAUAUUCCCGAUAAGCGAUAUCCCCAACAUUGUUCAUGACACAUAUCAUCUAAACCGAUAGUAACAACAUCCUUUUUGCAAUCUAUCUUAGCAUUAACAGUGUUUAAGAAGGGUCUACCAAAUAUAAUGGGACAAAAGCUAUCUUGUGGGGAACCAAGAACAAGAAAAUCAGCAGGAUAUUUAGUUUUCCACACAAGACUUCAACAUCUCUAACAAUUCCCAUUGGUGAAAUAGUAUCUCUAUUGGCGAGUUUAAUUGUGACAUCAAUAUCUUAUAUCUCAGCAGGUGCAAUAUCAUGCAUAAUUUCUUUGUAUAAGUCGUAAGGUAUUGCACUAGCACUAGCACCCAUAUCACAUAAGCCAUGAUAACGAUGAUCUCCUAUUUUAACAGAAAUAACAGGCAUGCCUACCACAGGUCUGUUUUUAUCUUUUGCACAAGGUUUAGCAAUUCUAGCAGUCUCCUCGAGGAAAUGAAUAACAUGUCCAUCAAUAUUAUCAGACAAGAGAUCUUUAAAAAUAGCAAUAUCAAGUUCAACUUUAAUUUUCUCAGGAGGUGUAUAAGUUUUAAUAUUGCUUUUACGAACCACAGUUGAAGCUUUAGCAUGAUCCUUUAUCCUAACAGAGAAAGGUGGUUUCUCAACAUAAGAAGUAGGAACAAUACGAUCAUUAUAAGUGACAGUCUUUUCUUCAACUUUAAUUGGUGCAGCUACUUUUACUUCUAUGGGAGGAUGAUAUUUAAACCACUUCUCCCUAGGAAGAUCAACAUGAGUAGCAAAAGAUUCACAGAAAGAAGCUACUAUUUCAGAGUCAAGUCCAUAUUUAGUGCUAAAUUUAUGGAAAACAUCGUAUCCAUAAAAGAUUUAACACAAUCAAACGUAGGUGUCAUACCUGACUCCUUACCUUUGCCGAGGUCCCAAUCUUCAGAGUUGCGUUUAAUUCUUUCCAAUAAAUCCCAUUUGAAUUCAAUAGUCUUUGUCAUAAAAGAGCCAACACAAGAAGUAUCGAGUAUGGUGCGAUUGUUAUCAGAAAGCCGAGCAUAUAAAUUUUGAAUAAUCAUUUCUCUUGAGAGCUCAUGAUUGGGGCAUGAAUAUAACAUUUAUUUAAGCCUCCCCCAAGCUUGAGCGAUGCUUUCUCCUUCGCGGGGCCAAAAAUUAUAUAUAUAAUUGCGAUCACGAUGAACAAGAUGCAUAGGAUAAAACUUCUGAUGAAAUCCCAAUUUCAAUCGUUUGUAGUUCCAUGACCCCGUAUCAUCACAUAGCCUAUACCAUGUCAAUGGAUCUUCCGUCAAAGAUAAAUGGAAGACCUUCUUUUUAAUAACAUCUCCGGGUACACCUGCAAGCUUAAAUAAUCUACAAACUUCAUCCACAUAUAUUAGGUGCUCAUCAGGAUGCGUUGUUCCGUCUCCUGCAAAAGGAUUAGCUAGCAGUUUUUCUAUCAUACCCGAAGGAAUUUCAAAGCAGACAUUUUCAUUUUCAGUAGGUUCAGUAGGUUGAGGAACAACUCUUUGCUCUACUGGUCGGGGUGAAGAUACCCCGAAUAAACCCCCCAGAGGAUUACUUUCCAUAGUAACAAGUGACAGUAAAUUUCAGCACACUAUAUAAAUUUUCCUUACCAAAUUCCACCUACCAAAGGCGCUUCACUCCCCGGCAAUGGCGCUAGAAAAGAGUCUUGAUGACCCACAAGUAUAAGGGAUCUAUCGUAGUCCUUUCGAUAAGUAAGAGUGUCGAACCCAACGAGGAGCAAAAGGAAAUGAUAAGCGGUUUCCAGCAAGGUAUUCUCUGCAAGUACUGAAAUAAGUGGUAACAGAUAGUUUUGUGAUAGGAUAAUUUGUAAUGAGCAACAAGUAACAAAAGUAAAUAAAGUGCAGCAAGGUGGCCCAAUCCUUUUUGUAGCAAAGGGCAAGCCUAAACAAACUCUUAUAUAGAGAAAAGCGCCCCGAGGACACAUGGGAAUAUCGUCAAGCUAGUUUUCAUCACGUUCAUAUGAUUCGCGUUCGGUACUUUGAUAAUUUGGUAUGUGGGUGGACCAGUGCUUGGGUGCUUCCCUUACUUGGAAAAGCAUCCCACUUAUGAUUAACCUCUAUUGCAAGCAUCCUCAACUACAACAAAAGUAUUAAGGUAAACCUAACCAUAGCAUGAAACAUAUGGAUCCAAAUCAGCCCCUUACGAAGCAACGCAUAAACUAGGGUUUAAGCUUCUGUCACUCUAGCAACCCAUCAUCUACUUAUUACUUCCCAAUGCCUUCCUCUAGGCCCAAAUAAUGGUGAAGUGUUAUGUAGUCGAUGUUCGCAUAACACCACUAGAGGAGAGACAACAUACAUCUCAUCAAAAUAUCGACGAAUACCAAAUUCACAUGACUACUAAUAGCAAGACUUCUCCCAUGUCCUCAGGAACAAACGUAACUACUCAUAAAGCAUAAUCAUGUUCAUAAUCAGAGGGGUAUUAAUAUGCAUAUAGGAUCUGAACAUAUGAUCUUCCACCAAAUAAACCAACUAGCAUCAACUACAAGGAGUAAUUAACACUACUAGCAACCUACUAGUACCAAUCCCGGACUUGGAGACAAGAAUUGGAUACAAGAGAUGAACUAGGGUUUUGAGAGGAGAUGGUGUUGGUGAAGAUGUUGAUGGAGAUUUCCCUCUCCCGAUGAGAGGAGCAUUGGUGAUGACGAUGGCGAUGAUUUCCCCCUCCCGGAGGGAAGUUUCCCCGGCAGAACAGCUCUGCCGGAGCCCUAGAUUGGAUCCGCCAAGGUUCCGCCUCAUGGCGGCGGAGUUUCAUCCGAGGAGAUGGCUUAUGAUUUUUUUCCUCAUCGAAAGACUCCAUAUAGCAGAAGAUGGCCAUCGGAGGGCCACCAGGGGGCCACGGGGUAGGGGGCGCGCCCCCCACCCUCGUGGGCAGGGUGUGGCCCCCCUGGUGAACUUCUUGUGCUCAGUAUUUUUUAUAUAUUCUGAAAACGUCUUCCGUGAAGUUUCAGGACUUUUGGAGCUGUGCGGAAUAGGUCUCUAAUAUUUGCUCCUUUUCCAGCCCAGAAUCCCAGCUGCCGGCAUUCUCCCUCUUUAUGUAAACCUUGUAAAAUAAGAGGAAUAGGCAUAAGUAUUGUGACAUAAUGUGUAAUAACAGCCCAUAAUGCAAUAAAUAUCGAUAUAAAAGCAUGAUGCAAAAUGGACGUAUCAUUACACACGCGGUUGGCGCAUUUUAAUUAAGUCAAGUGUCAAGUUCUCUACAACCGGAUAUUAACAAAUUCCCAUCUGCCACAUAACCGCGGGCAUGGCUCUUGAAAGUUUAAACCCUGCAGGGGUGUCCGAACUUAGCCCAUGACAAGCUCACGAUCCGCGAAGACAAUCCUCCAUCGCGGGACCCUCCGAUCAGACUCGAAAUCCCGGUGCACAAGACAUUUCGACAAUGGUAAAACUAGUCCAGCAAGACCUCCUGGCGUGCCGACACCCUGAUAAUAGCCGUGCAUAUCUUGUCUUAGGCCACGUCCGGAUGGGUCAGCCUAUAGGUAUAUACCAAAUACCUCGGGUUUCCCCGAGGCGGCGGCGCACGGCGGCGGCGGGCGAGACAGGCGGCGGCGCGGGAGGCGUGGACGCGCGGCGCUGGCGGCGAAGGCGCUCAGGCCCGGGCAGGCCGUCCUCGGGCUCGCGGGUCCGCGCGGCGAUGGGAGGCGGCUGCGACAUGUGGCGGGCGCAGAGUGUCUGCGGUUUAGAUGGGCUAAUGGGCUGUUGUGGAGGGGUGUUGGGCUGCAAAGAGAGAGGGGUUUUGGUGGUUACACGGUUAACCGUUGGGGUAUCAAACAACCUCCAAAUGGAACGAAAUUUGACAGGCGGCCUACCGGUGAUAUAUCAAGGCCACUCAACAAAUCUCGGCGCAUUCUGAGAACGUUUUUCUCCCGCUCACGAAACGAGAUCUGAGAGGUGCAACAGGUGCACGUGUGAGUGUCGGAUUCUGAAACGGACAAUGGGAAAAAUGACCGGAUGCAAGAGACAAACACGAAUGCAAAUGAGAUGCACAUGAUGACAUGAGAUGAAAUGCAUGAUAUGAACAAAAUGCAAAACGAGGACAAAACCCAACCACGGAGGAUAUAACAUAUAACAUUGCGGAAAUGGCAAGAGUUGGAGUUACAAUUAUGGAAUAUUACAUCCGGGACGUUACACGGUAUGAUCUUGCUGAAGAACGGUAGGCGCCAUUGAUCGAACAUGGGAGAUCAGCACUUCUGUAUCCCCAUGGUCAACUUCCUUAGUUAGUAAUUUCCACUGAUGGAGAAGCAAUAACAAUUUAAACAAACAGUCAACGGGUUUAUUAGGGAAGACAUGAUCAACAGUAAACUUGUUUCUAGUGGUCCACAAGACCCAACACAUAGCAUGAACCCAACCCAGAACAAUCGACGCUUCUGGCACGGAAGUUGAGAAGAGAGAGCAUGGAGAUCCCCAAAAGAGGACGGGGACCAGAUAAUAUCUACCGUGACUGGAUGUGUUUCCAUAUAAGUUUGGCCAGAUGACAGUUAUAAAGAAUGUGAUUGAUAUCUUCCCUAGCAUCACAAAGGGCACAUCAGAACUAGGCCGUUACUUUUACAAAUCUGAUCAGCCACGGGCAGCCUUCCACGGAUCGCUUGCCACAUAAAUAUAUAUUUUUAUCUUGAGAGGGAUCUUGGCACGCCAAAUAUCUUUGAAUUUACUAGUGGGGGAGCCCACAGUCAACCUGGAAUACAAAGAUAUAACUGAAAACCUCCCAGAAGAGGAAUGGGGCCAAUGACCGUGUCCUCGAUCUUCGAGAGCAAAGGGAAGAGCUCGGCAAGAUGCUGCCAGUCCACCAACUCUUUAGGAGAAAGCACAUGACGAAGACCCAUAUCCCUGUUAUUACGAGAGAGGUCCGAGAUGGAAAUCUCAGAAGACGAACAGUAAGAGAACAAUACCAGAAAAGGAGAACAUAAAGGAGAAUCACCACACCACUAGUCAAGCCAAAAACACAUGUUCUCCCCAUUACCCACCACAAACCUGACAUGAGCUCGAAAAUCAUCUGUAACUUCAAGAAGAUACAAUCCGGGAAGUAUUUUGCUUUACGAAUGUCCAACCAUAAGGUCCCAGAAGAAGUAUGAAAGAUUCUCCACCACCAUUUGAUAUUUAUAAACUAAGUAUUAAUGAUGCCCAACACCCCUAGGAUUUUAGGCUUGCACAUAAAUUUCCAUUUGACCACUCAAAGCGAUGGGUUGCUCCUUUGAUGUUGCUUUUUGUCUCCUUCACUCAUGUUUGAGCGCAAAGGGUGACACAUCUUCAAUUUGCGCUUAAUAUUUCCGUUUUGGACGCUUGUCUUGUGUGUUGUCUUAUAAGUUUAAGCCGAUUCCGAGCAUUCAUGUAUCAUGUAAUCCCUGACCGGUUGAUGACUUCAUUAAUCUAAACUCGGGUUCGUAUUGAGUCUUUUACUCUAAAAAAUGGUCAUGGGACUGUUUUUUGGACGUGUCUAGUGGGCGGCCGGCUGCCCACUAGUGCAACCGAGCAGCCGGCUGAAAAAGGAAACCCCCUAUCCCCAUGAAACAGAAAAGGAAGGGGCUCAUUAAAACAGGCCGAUCGAGCCCCCACGUAGCCAGCUGUCCCCAGCUCGCACCCACGCCCCCGCUCGCCCCCACGCCUCAGCCCCUCCCACGCUGCCUUUUUCUUCUUCUCCACGCCAGAAGCAGAUCCAAAAGAAAUCGCCCCCAACCGUUCUUCCUCCUCCUACAUAGCCGCCAUGGGAGCCCCAAAGUAGAAGGAGCUGCUUCAAGAUCUAAAGGGCAGGGUGGUCAGAGCCAUACCAGGCAGUAAGAUCAAGCAGGUAAGCCCCCUCUGCACCUCUUCACUUCCCCCUUUCUUCUACUGCAUAGGCAUAUGUAAACCCCCUUCUCCAUGGAUCCAUGGAGAAUCUGCUUCAAAAAAGAGGUGAAUCUGGCACAUCACACCAGCCUACUUGAUGUUACUGCUGGAUGUGUUAAACAUGCCAAAAACUACUUGAUGCAUGCCAGACAAGUUUCUACCACCUGGAUGUGUUAAACAAGCCAACUAAAACAAGUUCUCUAGCCAAUUAAAACAUGAUUAAAGCCAACUCAACAAAGCAUUGUAGCCAAAACUAAACAUGCAUUCUACCAACUUGUAGUAUAUUGUUUGCAAAAUGAACAAAAAAUUGACUGCAUAAUAGAUAUGUGCAACGAAAAAUUCAUAAAUGUGCAACUGAACAUGCAUCCUAGCCAACUGAACCUAUAUUCUGGCAACUCGGCAUGCAUGCUAGCCAAAACUAAAACAUGCAUUGUACCCCACGUGUUAUCUGUCCAACUAAAAAACAUGUAUCCUGGCCAACUAAACAUGUAUCCUGGCCAAGUAAACAUGUAUAUUUCGCAAUACAUGUUUGUGAGUGAACACUUUGGGAAAACUGUAGUAUAUGUGCAAAUAAAAAACAUGUUUUCUGGCCAACUAAACAUGCAUGUUGGCAAAAAACUAAGAAAAUGUAUCCUGGCCAACUGAGACAUCUAUUCUAGCCAACUGAAUGCAUUAACUGUCCAACUGAACAUGCAUGUUGGCCAAAAACUGAAAUAAAUGCAACCUGGCCAGCUGAGACAUCUAUUCUAGCCAACUAAAAACAUUGAAUGUCCAACUGGAUAUGUAUGCUGGCCAAGUGCAAAGAUGCAUUCUGGCAAUUGAGACGUCUAUUCUAGCGAAAACCAGAAAUCUGUAGUGCAACAGGAAAAGCAAAAGAACUUUUGUCCAUGGCUAAUGAAGCCACAAACCAUAUUAACAUAUUCACACAUAUAAUCUUGUCCCACGCAUAUAUUCUGGUCCCACACCUAUUGCAAACCAUAUUAAUAUGUUCAAAUAUACCAGAACUAGAAACAUAAACGACGAUGAAAAACAUAUAACUAUAAUCUGUCCUCCAAUUCUUCUUUCUUCUUUCACCUGGAUUUUCCUUCUCAAAUGUAGCAUCCAAUUAUGUGCAGAAAAAUCUGAAAAGAGUUCCUUGUGAAACGGAAACCUAUAGAUCAUUACAACAAAACAAAAAAGGGGGAAAGUCAGAAAAACUCUAUAGCAAAAAGAAGUCAUGCUUUUGCCAGUUAUUUACUGCAAACUGUGCAACUAACAUAACAAAUCUGUGCAAACAAAAAAUUUCAUAACUAUUAUAAUAAAAGAUUAUGCUACGGUCAUGUUCUUUUUGGAACUAAGAUUAUCACAAAAUGGUGUGCAACUGCCUAUUUACUAAGUUUUUAGGUUGUUUGAAACACUCUUUUUCUGUGGUUACCAACUGAUGACAUCAAUUUCUUCUUUUUAUAUAUGUGCAGGGAGUGUGUGGCAGCAUCCAAGAACAAGGAAAAAAUGCUUGAUCUCAAUGAGUUGCCUCCAGAUCUCAAUGAGCUUCCUCGUGAUAUGGAUCAGCAGCAACCUAGCAUACAACAAGGAAAUUGGAUAGAAAAUGGUCGAUCUGUUUACUACACGCAGGCAAGUCGUGAUGGUAACCCUAUGGGCCAUGACAAUGUGGCAGGCCAGUCAUCAGCCCAUGGUGCCCCUGUAGUGGUGUCUUUGCAGUCAGAGAGCCAUACUCUUGAUGACACAGGAACCGAGGCAAAUGUUCCUGGUCCAACCAGGACUGAGCUAGAAGUUGGGGCUGUUGACAGAGCUGUGCAAGUAGAAGAAGGAGAGGAUGAGGCUGGUUCUCAACCUAUGGAACCCUAUGUUGGCAUGAGGUUUGACAGCCUUCAAAUUGCUAAGGAUCACUACAACAACUACGCACUACGGAUGGGUUUCUCUAUCAAGAUGAACACCUCUAGACGGACAGCCCGCACCAAUGAAUUGAUAAAACAACAGUUUUGCUGCAACAAGUUCAAGAAGCCCAAAGCUGAUGAUGGAGGAGCUGAGGCUCCUCCUGUCCUGGACCCUAUUCUAGAUCCAAAAUCUGUUAAUAGUGAUGAGGAGAUGGAAGAAGAACCUCCAAUAUUUGCUGAAGAGGAGGCUGGUACUAGUAAGAAGAAGAAGAAGCGCAAACGCAAGACAAUAAAGCAGACUGAAUGCAAGGCGAAAAUGUUGGUGAAGCUGACAGAUGGGCGAUGGGAGGUGACGCACUUUGUUCGUGACCACAAUCAUCCGCUUGUGAACAAACUGUCAUUGUCCAAAUACUUGAGAUCCCACCAAGGCAUCUCACCUGAUGAAAAGGAGUUUCUGCGCAUCUUGUAUAACUGCAACUUGACUAUAGGUGUGGUGUUUUUCUAUAUCCCUUGAAGAAUUAAGUUUCCCUCUAGGCAGUCCAGUGUGCAACUGUUAUGGUACUACUGUGCAACUAAAAUGGCUUAACUGUGCAACUGGUGUCCAACUUCCCAUGCUUCUUGUAUAUCACUUUUGGUGCUUCUUGUGCACCUAGAUUGUCUUUACUGUGCAACUACACAAUGUCCUGUAUGCAAAAACUGCAACGUGUUUUUAAAAAGGUGCAGCUAGGUUUCCAUUUCCUGCGAUUAUGUUCUGUGCCAACACGUGUCCUAUUAUUGUGCAGCUGGAUGUGCCAUUUGUGCAACUAAAAAAAGGAUAUACUGUUUGUUUUUGUAUUAUGCAGGAUGAAUGAUGCAUGUAAUGGCAGAGUUCUAUGGAUCUGAGAUGAUGGUGCCGUUCGGACCAAAGGCAAUAACAAAUCUUUGUACAAGUUUCCGUAGAGAUGACACAAAGGAGGGUGAUCUGAUUGAGACAAUUGCGCACUUCAAGGAUAUACAAAAAACCGAUCCAGACUUCUUCUAUAAGGUGAAAUAUGAUGAAGAGGACAGAGUUGUCAGCAUAUUCUGGGUGGACGGUUUAGCUCGAAAAGCUUAUGCGGAGGCGUACCAUGAUUGCAUAUCGUUUGACACCACCUACAUGACCAACUUGUACAAUAUGUCGUUCGCGCCCUUCAUAGGAAUAAACAGACAUGGCCAAUCUUUCAUGCUGGGUUGCGCGUUUGUGAGGCAGGAGUUGGCAUCGAGCUUUGAUUGGGUCUUUGGAGCAUUCCUAGAGGCUAUGGAUGGCAAACCUCCUAACAACUUCAUCACCGAUCAGGAUGGUGCGAUGAGGCAGUUAAUAUAGAGCAUCUUUCCAACCACCAUGCACCGCUGUUGUCGAUGGCACAUCAUGAAAAAGGCUCAGGAAAAGGUUGGUUGGCUGCUGUGCCGGAAUCCAGGACUCUCUGAUGAUUUCAACAAGUGUGUUGACUUCAGCUUCACUAUAGACGAGUUUGAGCAGAAUUGGGCUGGGUUAAUGAUGAAGUAUGAGGCUAUGACACACACGCACUUUGAGAAGUUGUACGAAUACAGGUCAACUUGGGUGCCGUGCUACUUCAAACACAGGUACUUCCCCUUCCUCCAGUCUACACAGCGUAGUGAGGGGUUCAACGCCGUCCUCAAAAGAUAUGUGAACCCACACAACUCAAUGCUGAACUUCGUCAAGCAAUAUGAAAAAAUCCAGAACCACAUCCUUGCCAAGGAAGGUUGCAAUGAUUACAGGACAGAACACCUUGAGAUUGAGUUGUGGUCCAACUUCCCAAUAGAGAAGCAAGCUUACAAAACCUAUACUAGAGACCUUUACCGCAAGUUCAAACAAGAGUUUGAGCUGAUUGGACGUUAUAAUGCAUUCCAAGUUGGUGCUGAUGUGUUUGAGCUCAGACCGAACCAGGAAUUUGUUGCGAAAUAUGGUUCUCGAAACUACUUGGUGUAGGCACGGGUGGAGGAGGGUUCCUAUUUGUGUGAGUGUUGUAAAAUGGACAAGGACGGCAUCCUCUGUUGCCACAUCCUCAAGGUGUUCACCCAUGUUGGCGUUGAUGUCAUACCAGAAAGCUACCUGCUAAGACGGUGGACACCUACUGCUGUACCUAGUGCGCCAGGGACUGGUUAUGAGCAACCGGAUAAAAUGCCUCCUCAAUCAAAGAAGCGGAUAAGGGAGAGGAACAUGAUAUACGAUUUUCGGAAACUAGCAAAGUUUGCGAGUGGUUCUGAUCCAACACAAGCUAUUGUAUACAAGCAUAUGCGUGCAGCACGUACCGAGAUCGGCCACCUGAACAAGUCCAAGAAAAAGAAAAAACCGACUGCUGCAACGGGGCCAUCAGAUGAUGGCAACCCUCGAGGACCUCCUCCACCUCCAGGCAGCAAUCAGGGGGCUCAUCAUCCAGGUAAUUACCUGCCCCAACUCCUAAUCUAACUAGGUGUGUAACUUCAGUUGCCCACAUCAUUGUGCCCAGUUGCACACACCAUGGUAGCCACUUGGACAGAACAUACUGCCUAGUUGCACACGCUGUGUUAGUUCAAGCAUCAAGAUAACACAGCUAACUUAUUUUUCCAGUUCUGGAUAUAGGUGAUGUCAACCCUCAAGGACCUCCUCCCCCUCCUGGCUGUACACGGCAUCCUCCGCCACCUCCUCCCCCACAUGCUCCUCCCAAUGGCCCUACAGGCAGCACUCAGGGGGCUCGUCAUCUAGGUAAUUACCUGCCCCCAACUCCCCAUCAAACUAGGUUUGUAACUCCAGUUGCACACAUCAUGGUGCUUAGUUGCACCGAACAGGCUACCUAGUUGCGCACGCUCUGUUAGUUCGAGCAUCAAAAAGAUAAACACAACUGACUUGUUUGUCCUGUUCUGCCUAUAGGUGAUGCCAACCCUCAAAGACCUCCUCCCCCGCUAGGCCCAACUAGCAGUUCCCUUUGUGCUACUCCCAAUGGACCUACAGGCAGGACUCAGGGGGCUCAUCACCCAGGUUAGUACCUUCACCGACUCCAAAACAAAAACUAGGGUGAGUGACUUUAGUUGCACAUAUCAUAGUGCCCAGUUGAACAGAACAUGCUGCCUAGUUGCGUGCGCUGUGUUAGUUUGAGGAUCAAGCUAAAAAUCUAACUUGUUUUUCAUGUUCUGCCCAUAGGCGACUACAAUCCAAGUACCAUGACAGGCCGUGCUACUGCAGGUGUUUUUUUCAACUUAACUUGCACACAGCAACCAGUUAGUUGCACAAAAUGUACUGUGUGGUUGCACAGAGCAUCAGUGUUGGUUGCACAAUAACAAAAAUACUAAACUUUUUAUAUGAUUAUUACACAGGUGAUCGUGAUGGUCCUACUGCCCCGUUGGAGGCUGCAUCCCUUGCACAAGCUUCUGAUGAUUUUGUGCCUAGGGAUCCUCCAAGGUCUACUACAAAGGGUAGGGCAAAGAGUCGACGGUACAAAUCGGCGCUGGAGCUACACCCAAAGAAGAAAAACAAAUGCAGCGAGUGCCAAUCUACAGAGCACACUGCUGGUGUGUGUCCACAGAGGCUCCUGUGAUUCUGUUUCCUCAUUUGUAACUUUGGAACAAAAAAGGAAAAUAAUGAUGUCUUUUUUAGCAAUGUUGGGACCAAGUGGACACAUUCAGCAUCUAUGAUUCCUCUUUAUCUAAUUUAUGCUGCUUGAAUUAGUUCAUGCACUGUGUAAAAAAAAGUUGCUAUUUGUGCCUUUGUUGGCAACUGGUUAAAUAUUUAGUUGUUGAACAAUUGUAUAUCCAGUGCUCCUAAUGUAUCAACAAAAGUGAUGAUAUUGAGUUGCAAACGCAAUUACUAGUAGUGUGCAACUAUAAAAUCUACUUAAUAAAAUUGUACAAACCAGCAACUUCCUCCAUGGAGCAGAAAAAAAAUAGUACUGACCUACUCCUUGUCGUAUCUCAGCAACUUCCUCCAUGGGGCGGUGUUGUGCACGCUGGUGAGCCAAUCAUAUGCCAGCUUCUUCCUGAUGUUGAGUACUUCCUUGGGGUCGUAGUUGGGCAGUUGGCUACCAUUCCACUCGGUGGCAUUAAGCAGUGCGAACAACCCACACUCAUUACUGCAAAAAUGGGCAAAAAAAUUGUCACAUAAAAUUAAAACCAAAUAAAGGUAAUGCACUCUGUGCAACUGCUUAUGUCCUACUGUGCAACUAUUUGUGUUCUACUGCAACUCAUUAUGUGCCACUGUGCAACUGCUUACGUGCCAGUGUGCAACUACUUAUGCGCCACUCUGCAACUAGCUAGACAAUCCAUUAGAAACUCAUAAAAAUGAUAAAACAGAUUGAAGACUAGUACUGUGUCUUAAAAAUACUAAAGAUUGCACAUGUAGAAAAAUUUAAAAACUACAAAAUGAUGGUAUAUGAUUGAGAAGGAAUGAAAUGCUUAUUGUCUUACUUGCCGAGCUGCUUCGGUACGUCAAUGUCAAUAAUCUGGAAGUGCUCGAUGCUGAACUUUGGGUAAUGCUUCCUCCAUAGCUGGCGUACUUCCCCUGCAAUGGUAGAGGCGGUGUUCAUCAGCUCAAUGUUGUCCAGCGUCCUGCUUGAAUCAAGAACUUCGAAGCGUCCGUCCCUCAAGUUGACACUGAAGACCCAAUAAUGCCUCCCUCCGUCCUUAUCGGUUACAUCUGCGCACUCGAGCACUGGCAGCAUGACCUGCAAGCAUGAACGAUUUCAGACACAAAUACAAGCUGUAGCUAAGAAAAACAGUAAAAGACUUGGUCAAGUUAAAGACGGGUUGCAACAAGUAUCUGCCAACUAACAGAUGUGUCAUGUGCAACUGGACAUGCUGUGGGUGCCAACUGAAAAAAGAUUGAUCAUGUGGGCACAACACUCACCAAGUCUUUCUUGUCGAGACGGUUCUUGUAAUCAAACUUCUUGUUUAUCUCAUUCACAUUGUGGAUCCCUUGCUAUAAUUUUAUCUGCAGAGAUUAUAAAACAUGGCUCAAAACUCCUUAGUAGGUGAAAGGCCUCCCUCAAAUGGUCAACGAAAAAAGUGCUACAGAACAAAGAUGAGGGUAAAAAGAAGGUUUUGGAAAAACUUACAAAAAACCUCAGUGGCAUAACAACCUUCUUUGACCCUUCUGGUAAGUUAUCCAUGAUGUGUAAGAUUCCAGUCUCAAUAACAAUUUUUGACAACCAUUGAGCCGGCUUCAUCGAAUAAACUAACUCCUUUAAAGAAAUGUAGAAAGCACCAUACCUGAUUAUCUCAGGGCUGAUUUUUUUUUGAAAGCAAUAAAAAGACAAGUUAGCUCGAAGGGUCACAGCAGCAAAAAAAUGUGCAUGAAAAUGAAAACAGAACAGUGUGCAACUAAAAGCCCUGUUCUGUGCAACAUGCUAUGCUUUCUAUGCAACUAAGUGGCUGGUCCUAUGCAACUGAAAAAGAUAUGUAUGUAGGCUAUGGGGAGUUAGUUUACCUGGUAGCUCCAUCAUUUGCUCCUUUGUGAUGCCUGACCCAAUACAAGAGGGCGGCGUAAAGCUUGUUCACUACCUCAUUGGUGCUGAAAGUCUUCUUCUUGUUGUAGUCGAUGAAUGGAGACCUUUGAGAUGCUGCGGGCCUUCUUACCCUGCUCUGUCUUCGUGCAAGAGGUGGUCCCGAAGAACUGCUCGUGCCAAGUUCUGGUUUUGCGUAUAUCGGGGUGUGGCAAUUCUCUGGUGAACCAACAUCUAGUUCUUGAGCUAUUGCCUUGCCAGCAUUAGCAGCAUCACAUCCUUCAUUCACAGCUGCUGGGUCCAACUCACACUCAUCGAUGCAGAUCACACCGGCUUUCGCUGUUUCUGCUGCUGGAGCAGGUGCUGGAGCAUCACCAUCUAUGUCGAGGUCAAAAGAUGGUGCAUCGCAGAACCCGUCACCAUGAUAAGAGUUUGAUCUUCGUAAGGGUUCAAGGACCAGGGCAUCUCCUUGCGGCACAAACACGGGUGCAUCAUUCACUGACUUGGUUCGCAAUAGUGUUGUAGUUGGCGGCCUUGGAGGCUUGCACCUACUUAUAAUGUCAAACACCUCCUCUUGUGUUAAUGGUUGCUGAAAGUCAGCUCUUGGGGACGGCACUUUGAUAGUUGGAUCACCUCCUUUUGUGUUUGGCAUUGAAGUAUCUCUAUGAGUAGGCACCUUGGGACUUGCAGUUGCAAUGGUGCCUUCCUGACCAGCUGUGGUGGUUUUGACUGUGACCAUGCUGCUAACUGACACAUCAGUUGGCACACUGGUAUCUGUAGUUGGCAUCUUUCCAGUCUGAGUUGGCAGCAACCUAGCAGAACUUGGCACCCCUGCAUCAAUGGCUGCGGCUCGCAGCUCUCUCUCGUCUCUGAACCCCAAAUCUUUUGUGGCAUGUUCCCCCUUUGCUCCCCUGGCAAACUUGACAAUCUUUUGCUUAGGUGGUUUUGGUGGGACUGUUGAAAGGGGAGUCUUCCCCUUGAUCUGUUGAACUUCUCUGACAUUGGUUAUCUCUCUGCUCACUACAGUUGGCAUAUCAGUUUGAAGCACAGCUUCCUUGACCAUAUUUACUUCAGCAUCUGCACUCACCAUCUUCUUCUUGGUUUGAGGCAACUACAGAUUCUUCUUCAUUGAAACUGCUUUACGCUUCUGUACCACGUGAGGGUUUGCCGUGGAUGCUACCUUGCUCUUGCUGGAGCUUAGGUCUGGGAGCUGCUUUAAAUAUUCCUUGUAUUUUUCCUUUGAAUGAACCCAGUCAAGACCCUUUCCUGCUUCCUCCAUAUCAAUUUGAUUCUUUUCAGCAUCACUUGAUAAGAACAGGCUCUUGUCAAUGGCAAAGUUGAUCUUCUCACACAUAUCUUUGUCGCUGAAAUCUGGCACGGGAAAGGUGGUUGGCAAAGCUGGCUUCAAGUUGCAGAGCUUGAACAUAUCAAUGCUGCCCUGAGACUCUGCUUCGUCAUUUUUCUUUGACUUCGGCAAAUCCUUAUCUUUCCAGCAAGUUUUGUCAAUCAACAUCUGUAGUGUGCUCUUGCUACUCAAUGAAUUGCUGCUGCUCGCAGGGGUGGCAUAAGUGCUAGUCCUCCUGGAUGUGUUGCCACCUGUACCACCAGAACCAGGGGCAUUGUCAUCAUCAUCGUCAUCGCUGCUGUCGCUGCCUCCAUUGGAUCCCCCUUUAUCAUCACCAUAACCAUCCUCGUCUUCUUCAUCAUCGUCUUCUUCCCUCUCACUGCCAUCAGCUGCUGCGCCUUUGUCUUCUCCCCUCUCACUGCCAUCAACUGCUGCCCCUUUGUCCCCAUCCCCCUCUUUGGCCUCACCUUCUUCUUCCUCCUCUGCAUCACUAUCUUCUUCCUUGUCCUCCUCCUCUCCUUUGUCCUCUUCUUGUUUGUCCUCCUCCUCCUCCCCCUCCUCCUCCUCCUCCUCCUCUUCCUCCUCAUCCUCCUCCUCCUCUGCAUCUUCUUCAUUUUCAUCCUCAUCCUUGUCCUCCUCCUCUGAUUCAUCCGCAUCUGUGUCCUCAUCGUUGUCAGCAUCUAUCGCUGCUUCCAUUUCCUCAUCUUCUUCUGACUCAUCCUCAACAAACUCUUCUUCUUCUUGUAUAGUUGACCGCCAUCUCUUUCUUUUUGGAGCACGGUGUGACGCCCCAGUUUGCAUUGAUGGCUGCUGUACGUAAGGAUCAAUAUCUGGUUCCUCAUCAUCGAUCUUGGCAACUGCUUCAAUGAAGGUGCCAACCUGUUCAGUUACAGCCUUGCACAGCUCAUUGACCACUUUCGCAAUCUUUGCCUUUUUCUGCAUCAACACAAAAAAGAUUCAGUACUGAUUCAGUUAGAAAAAAUAAUAAAAAGUAAAAAUGUCUGUAACUGACCAUGAUGUGAUAAGCAAAAACGACUAAUACACACUUUCUGGCCAACUAAAAACAUGAUUCUAGCCAACUACACAUGCACUGUGGCACAAACUAAAAAACAUGCAUUCUGCCAAAAGUUGAUGACAAUGGUUGUAAAUGAACACUUUGACUAUCCAAAAGAACAUGUGCAACUACAAAAGCUUAUAUGUGCAACUGAACAUACAUCACAGCCAACUAAAUUUUGUAUUCUCGCAACUACAAAAGUUAUACAUGUCCAUCUGAACAUACAUCCCAGCCAAUAGAAAAAUAUUGGUAAGUGAUACAAGUUUCUGUAUACAAAACACUAACCUGCGGAUUGUAUGUUAUUGGUAACUUGGAUGCCACGAAUGCUUCAAUUUGCAAAAUUCCACCAAACAGUGGUGUCUGCUCCGUGCCUCUAUACUCCUCUUUAAGCUGAUGUGAAAAAAAAGAGAAACAGAAAAUAACAAGGUUAUCAAAAAUAGAUUUGUGUGUUGAAUGAAACCACACAUUACAACCUGUGCAACUACAACAAGAUACUGGGGUAGACAAAUUCAACUAUACAUAUAUGCAACUGAACAAAGACACAAAAAUUGUGCAACACACAUGGCACCUAAAAAAAGUUUCUCCCAACUGAUGCAACACAUCUGUGCAACAAGAUUAGUAAAACUGUGCAACUUAAAAAAGAUGGUGUGCCAAUUUAAAAUGAACAUGUGUGCAGAUUGCCAAACUGAAAGCUACAAUCUGUGCAACUACAUGCAUUGUUGUGCCAGCUGAUGACAGUUUUUUGUGCAAUUUCCAAAAAGAGUGACCAGACAUCAAAAGAACAUAGAAGGAAGACACUGUUGGAAAAAACAAAAAAGAACUCACUUGUAAUUUGCCGAACACACCAGGAGAGAUAGUAUCCUUCUUGAUCACCUUGGCAAUUAGAGUACUAUCCCAUGCAUUCGAUCGUGUCGCGCAGUUGCUUACUGGGAUGUCAUGUACGAGCGCAUCAAGGUAUAGUAUCUGCACCGGACCCAAACAAAAGAAAAGGCCAAGUUCAGUUAUUGUUAUGAGAAUUUCAGCAAACUAUAACUGCACAGAAAGAACAGGAACAGAUGGAAAAAAGUGGUCGUUUUCACUAACCAUCAAGUGAUACAAGCAGCAGCAGACAGUUUGCUUCUCCUGGUCCAUGUUCCGGAAAGCUUCGUUAAUGUGUUCUGCUACAAAGAGGCAGAUGUUUGUAUUCUUUAGCAUUUGAUGAUCUAGCACAAGUCCAUAACACUUUGGGCUGAGCUUCAAGGCCGUGGUUGGUGCUAGAAAAGUGCUGAAGGCAACCGCAAGCCAGGCCAUAAAGAAUGUGUCAUCCGUUCUUCCAGCCAUAUCCUGAAUCAUCUUGAGCCAUGUAGUGAUCUGGGGAUGAGAAUUUCCAGUUAUGUUGAAAGCCUGUCUGAAUCUCCUAGUGUCAUCCUUGUCAACUAAAUAUCUGACUUUUGGACCCUUGUUUGGGAGAUCAAAUACCCUCUGAACACUGUCAGCAUCGACACGGAUCCUUCCCCUUCCUGGGAAAACCAUUUCAGAGGUCUGUGGCUGGUAGGACUGCACCAGGAACUUAGUGAGGUCCGCUGGAAGUGUGUCUGAUAAGUUCAAUAGCCCCCCGACCGACCUCGAAACUAGCUCUGAUUUUUGUAGUGGGGUUAGAGAGGCGUUGAAAUUUGUAAAGCGCGCUGGUGAUGCCCUUAUCAUGCCUGCUUGUGAUGGUCGCUCCACAUCUUCCCCUGGAGCCACCUCAACUCCUUCACCGCUGCCCUGUUGAUUAGAAAAUGAAAGCAUUACACAAACAUUAAACACAAGAGAAAAAACAAGAAUGAAAGAAAACUAGCAAUCAUCAUUUGGAUCAGUAUUAGAAUGAGCUAUAUAUUCAUAAAACGGAUCAUGCCAACUAAUAUGAUGUAUUUGUGCAACUAAUAAAGCUCAUGAGGACAACUGCAAGACUGCCAGUGUGCAACUGAAUGUGCAACAAUAAAAACAGUAAAUAAAAAAAGAACGAGACCUGGCAGCUACAAAAAGUUCUAGUGGAUGUGCAACAAUAAGAAAUGAUACUACAACACAAGAAAAACAGUAACUAAAAAAAGGUUUGCAAAGAACUAUUCAAAUAGCUCAUAAACACACACAAAAAACCCACAUACCUCAUCAUCUGCUGCGGGAGAUGCGACAGCUUCUCCAGCAACUGCUGCCUGCACAAAAAAAUGACCACUGAUGUCAACUAUGAAAAGAUGCCAACUAGUGAACUACAAGAUGCCAACUAAUGUCAACUGUAUUUAAAUCAAUAUGACUAGAGAUGUCAACUACAAAAAAAUGGACUUGUGUCAUCAGCAUGCCACUUACCGACUUCCAGAAUGCUGAUUAAGCAACCAAAAGAAAACAUGAAAAAAAAGACAUUAGCAUACAUGCAUAAGUUGAAAACAACUCAAAAACAAAAUAAAAAAAGGUUUGCAAAGAACUAUUCAAAUAGCUCAUAAACACACACAAAAAACCCCACAUACCUCAGCAUCUGCUGCGAAAGAUGCGACAGCUUCUCCAGCAACUGCUGCCUGCACAAAAAAAUGACCACUGAUGUCAACUAUGAAAAGAUGCCAACUAGUGAACUACAAGAUGCCAACUAAUGCCAACUAAUGUCAACUGUAUUUAAAUCAAUAUGACUAGAGAUGUCAACUACAAAAGGUUGUUAUUGACAGACUAAAAACAAAAAUAGUGGUCCAAACUGCUGUAUAAUUUAAUCACUAUCUAAAAAAUGCGAGAAAAACACUUAUAUUUGAGAUUUUACUUACCCUAGAAGAUGACUCAGCUCCCUUGCCAAGUGCUGAACGUCUAGUCCGCUUUACAACACGGAACUGAUCAGCAUCCUAAGAAAAAAAACAUGAGCAUGGAAAAAAACAAAAAAAAUGUUAUAUGACCCAAACAAAACCAAAAAAAUGGACUUGUGUCAUCAGCAUGCCACUUACCUCAACAUCCUCUCCCUGCUCAACACUCUGCGCAGGUCAUGGCUGGCAAUUAGCAGGACGCUUCGAGUUCCGGCGAAGCGGCUGACUUCCAGAACGCUGAUUAAGCAACCAAAAGAAAACAUGAAAAAAAAAGACAUUAGCAUACAUGCAUAAGUUGAAAACAACUCAAAAACAAAAGAAAAAAAAGUGAAAAAAAAUACAUCUCCUUCAUUGCCAUCCGCAUCUCCUCCUAUUAUAAUCAUUUUUGCCCUGCGGCAGGAAAUACAACAAAAAAACAUAGUUAGAAGAUGUGGACAACCAACUACUACAAUGAUGCAGCCAACUGGGCAGUAAACCUUGUGCAAACUGGACAUAAAAAAGCCAACUAACUUUUUUCUGCCUAGUUAUUAUUUGCCAACUGUGACAAGUAAUACCUAGGCAGAAAAAAGUUAAGUAAAGGCAACAAGCUCAGUGAGAUAACUUAUUCUAAAAAAAGCGUCCCUAGUUGAACAUGAGGGGAGACACAUAAAAACAACCAUAUCCACAACAAAAAGACUUGCACAUUGAGAAAAAUUAAAAAAUGGAAAAAUGGCAAGCAUUAGUACUAAUUUGCACAAAUCAAGGGGUCCUAGUUGCACAAAGCACGAGAAUAACACAUAAACCACCACAGCCACCACAACGCUGGUGGAUUGGGUAGAUUAUAUUGGAAAACUGGCAAGCAUUGGUGCUAAAAUUGCACAAACAAGAGUCCCUAGUUGCACACAGCAGAGGGGAAAACAGCCAACUCAUGCGCAAAAUGAGUUAGAAGAUGCGCAAAAUGAAGUACAGAACCAACUAGUACAUGGAUGCACCCAACUAAUCAGGCAACUUGUGCAACUGAACGACGCAUAGACAGACAACCUAGCACAAAAUAGCAAGCAAACUAAGCAGGGCAACUAGUGACCAUUGUAAAACACAUGAACAACCAACUUGACCACGAAAGCAGGGCAACUUGUGCAACACAAAAACAGUAUAUAUAUACAGCCAAUUAGUAUAUGGAUGCAUCCAUCUAAUUGUGCAAAUGAACAACAUAUAGACGGUCGACCUAGUGCAAAACAGCAAACCAACUAAGCGGGACAAACUAGUGCAGGUGUAGAACAUAUAGACAGCCAACUAGUAAAAGUGAUGUAGCCAACUGAGCAGGCAACUUGUGCAACUGAACAGUAUGUAGACACCCAACUAGCAAAAAAUUGGUGCAACUGCAGAACCUAGGGACAACCAACUACUAUAUGAAUGAAGCCAACUGGAUAGAAUUUUGUGCAACUGGAACACAAGUGUCUACCAACUACACGGCAACUUCUGCAAAACUCGAACACAACUAAGAGACAGCAAGUUCACAGAACCGCAAUUGCAUAGCCAACCAGUUCAUAAACUUCCUGCAGCGGCCAUGAACAUCGAAUCAAGGACGAAUCGUGGGACAAAAACCACCACCACCACUACCGCACAAAAACGAAGCAAAACACAGCGGAAACACAGCAAGGGCUCCCCCCCUAUGCAGCCCGCCACAUCCGCCACCCAUCGACCUAGACACCACCUCGCCACCGGCGACGAGAGAGAGGGGGGAGGAUAGCAGAGGGCAGUCGCGGACGUCUGCCUCGAGCGCAAAUCCAACAACCACCUGCACCAACAGCAAACGCAUUCCCCCACGAAUCCCCACCAUUACAGAUCCAAUGACACUGUGACUAGUCGAACAGAAGCACACCCAUCCCACCCGAAAAGCGUCUACACCAAAACAACCGUGCGAGUAAGUUGACCACAGAAACCGCAGAAACCCUAGAAAUCCCAGCCCGCCAUUUCCGCCGCCGACGACCUCGAGACGACCUAGACCCCCAGCGACAAGACAAAGAAAGGAGAGAUGCACUGGGUACCUGCAACGCCGACGAGGGCCAGCAGCGAAUCCCCGCGCGGUCCACCGGAGAUUUGGAGAGCCGCGGCGCGAUUUCGCCGCGGAGCGAGAGCGAGGGCGGAGGAGAGGAGCGGAGAAUGGGGGAGGAACAGGAGAGAAAGGGGGAGAAAGAGCGAGAACGGCUCGCGUUUCGAAAACGGCCGCCCACGAUCUACGCCACGCCCGCUUACAUGUGGGUCCACGCUCGUCCGGAUAAGGACAAACCGCCCACGACCGCGUGGUUGGACGGACCGACCAGGCGACACCUCGCGCUCCCCCGAGGCCGAUCGCAAGCGAUCGUGCGGUCGCGAGCCGGCCGCCCGGAUCAUCUAUUUGGUGCGCGGCCACUUUUUAGAUUUUAGGCUGUUUUUUUAGGUAAAAAGGUUUUUUUUAGGCAAAAAAUGUGUUGGCAUCUCCUCGUGCUUCUCAAAUAAGGCUCGACGAGCAAUGGGCCAUGACAGGCUAUCUCACCUCCGAUCUCUUGCAGCCCAGUACGAAACAAGAUCAGAAAACCGCGUGCCGUACGUAGUAUCGUUCAACAGAGCCGGCCAGCCAGCCGGGGACAGGGUCGCAGGUGACCCCGAAGCCGCGUGCAAGCUACGCGAUGCCAUCCCCCGAUCCAGCACGUUGGCGCCCGCGCGGACGGCUCGGAUGCUGUCUCCGUGCUGCAUAUUCCCACCCGACCCCGAUUCUUCCAGGCCAGGGCGGGCGUUGCAACGAACAAACAAACGCUGCUUUCAGAAGAAGGGUUCUUCCUUCUCCACUUCUUCUAUCCCGUCACACGAGUCCGACGACGACGACUUGAGGGAGAAGACGAAGAGGAAGCCACUCCCGAAAGAUUCGACGGGAAUUUUGUUGUUCGUCCGGGGGAUUCCCAGCGAUCGGCCUAUCUCCGGCGGCGGAUGGGGCAGGCGUUCCGCAAACUGUUCGAUGCCUUCUUCGGCAACAGCGAGAUGAGGGUACGGCGGUCUUCCCUGUCAGAUAGGAGAUCACCGUCCCCCUUCUGAUGCUCCUCUAAGAGCUGCCCGUGCUGUAUCGUGCUGGUUCUUUUUCUUCGGGCCAUUUAAUUCAUGUUGUACUUGAUUUUCAGGUCGUGAUGCUUGGGCUGGAUGCAGCGGGCAAGACCACCAUCCUGUACAAGCUGCACAUCGGGGAGGUCCUCUCGACUGUCCCUACGAUUGGUAGGUUAUUCAGAUUUUUUUUCUUGGUAUCAGCUGAAUUGUUGGUUAACUGAAGUUAUAUCAAGGCCUUACUGAUGUGUUAAACUGUUAAUGAGGGGAGGCAAGCGAGUUGUUGCUGUUGGUAGUAGAGGAAUAAAUCAACCUGCCGUAUAUUGUCUUGCGGAACGGGGGUUUGGGAACUUGCUUAUGUAAAUGUGGUUAGCUGAACACUCUGAUCUACUCCCUCCGUUCCAAAAUAGAUGACCCAAGUUUAGUAUAAAGUUGGGUCAUCUAUUUUGGAACGGAGGGAGUAAUAUUUAUGCCUGAUUUUUUCUUUCUGGUUAGCUGAGCACACACCCUUGCAGUUUAGAUAGUAAUAAUCAUGCAAGAGUCAACCAGUUAACCUGCUAGUCAGAUUGGCCUUAACAGACAGCGUUCUUAAAUCUUUUAUGAGGUUUAGUUGAAAAAGGAACUACCAAGUGCUGAUGUUGCUUUUCUGCUCUUACUAAUAGGGUUCAAUGUUGAGAAAGUUCAGUACAAGAACGUGCUGUUUACAGUGUGGGAUGUUGGUGGCCAGGAGAAGUUGAGGCCCUUGUGGAGACAUUACUUUAAUAACACAGAUGGAUUGGUAUGUUCCAAUUACUCUAGUUAUACAAACUUGACAGAUGUAUACCCGUCUUUUAUCUUUCUGCUGAGGUAUUUAUGGUUGACCUUUCAAAUGAAAUUUGUUACUGUAGUUUGGUUCUUAGCUGGUUAUGGAAAUCCAAUUUAUGUUCUGUCUCUGUUCAUUUAUCUGGAAAGCUAGCCCAGGCUAUCUUGUCAGUAAUUUCUAUGUUGAAAUCUUGAUUUUGGUCCCUCGCAAAAACAAAAACAAAAAUCUUGAUUUUGGCGUUAUAUUUCUUGUGGCCCAUCUAUUUCAUUUUAUUUUAUUGCCAUUUUGCACUUUUUGGUCCCACACAUCAGGGACCCAAACCCAGUGGUGAUAAUGGAGCAUAAGAUGGCAAAAAUUAAGGUGCCUAUGAACACAUUUAGUUCUUCAGCACAUAGUUCAAUUUCCUACAUCUUGUUAGAGCUGGAGAAAGCUUUCAGUUCGUCAUAUCCUGCUUCUGAGCUCGUAGGUGAACUUGCUGACUAGUACUCCCUCCGUACACAAAUAUAAGAUGUUUUGGAUAUUUCAAUAUGAACUGCAUAUGGACUGAAAUGAGUGAACAAACACACUAAAACGUGUCUACUUACAUUCGAUUCACACAAAAAAAAUCAGAACAUCUUAUAUUUGUGAACGGAAGAAGUAGAAACAUAAAGGGACCACUCAUGAGCAGCUCAAUUAUCUUGAUUCGACUUCUUAAGUUUCAGUUAUCACUACUAUUCUUAUGCACAAAGAGUGCCAGCAGAUGUUCUCACUUUUAAAAGAAAUACAUGAAAGUAAAUUAUUAGUAGCAACUUUUCUGAUAAUCUGGUACUAACCCUUAAAGUGUUGCUAGUAUUUAUCACGUACUGUACAAAGCCUAUCUUUUCAAAUUUAGAAUUAUACUUGGAUUAUUCUGUGUUUUUUAACCUGGUGGAACUGUGCAAAGUUGUUAAGUAGUAAGUUCUAAUUGUCUACAAUGUGAAUAUAGUUAAUCUUACUCUGGACAGCUGAUGUUUGUCAGUAAAACCUUAUUAGUCAUUAGGACAGCUAGAUCAUGCCCUUCAUUCAAAACCUUAGUCUUCACUUAUGUUUUCUUCUGUUUUUGGAAGACAAUUGUAGGGGAAACCUCAUCCGUAUGAAUAGUAAUGUAAGUUAGCGUCUGUGAGGAUUUGAACCAAGGUAGUGGGAUUGUACAUCCACCCCACUCAGUUGAGGUGGACUAACAUUUGUUGUCUUUCUCUUGAAUGAUCUGUGUGUAACGUUGGACUCUCGAUGUGUUCAUGAACAUAUUCAACUAUGAUAUAUAAAUUAUAAUAACAUCCUCACCGUUGCAGAUCUACGUGGUUGAUUCAUUGGAUAGGGAGAGAAUUGGAAAAGCCAAAGCAGAGUUUCAGGUUUGUAAAGUGUCAUAACUGCUCAUUGAUGUCUUAUUAUGUUUUCUUUGUGAUGAAGCUAAUAUUUGGCAUCUUUGUUGCAGACAAUAAUCAACGAUCCUUUCAUGCUUAACAGUGUCAUAUUGGUAUUUGCCAAUAAACAAGAUAUGGUAAGACUACAAAACUUGACCACUAUUUUAAACGCAAACAUGCUUGAAUAUAUUCUUAAGAUAACAAAACUUGACCGCCAUUUUUAGCAGAUAUGAGAAGUCUCUGCUUGUUAGUGUUAUGGACUGUAGGUGAAUGAAUAGGUGUCAGAAUAUAUAUUUGCUCUUUUGCACUCGUUCUCCACUCCUUUUGGUUGUGAUAGUAUACGAGACCAUCGUUGCUGCUCCUGCCUAACAUAGCUUUGUUGCUCAUUCAGAAAGGGGCGAUGACACCAAUGGAGGUGUGCGAAGGCCUUGGCCUCUAUGAUUUGAAGAACCGCGUCUGGCACAUCCAAGGUUCCUGUGCCCUCAAAGGUGAUGGUCUUUAUGAGGGCUUGGACUGGCUGUCAAGUACUCUGAAGGAUCUGCAAGCGUCCGGUCGCCUACCCUCAGGAGGGACCUAACAGUUCUAAGUAGCACUUCUGCUUAUAAGAUCCUAAUGCUCAUACUAACAACCUUUGGAUGAAAGAUGACACCAGAAAGAAAGAAAAAGAUACUGGUGAGGAACACCUUAUAGCCACAUAUCCAGUUUUCGUGAUAAGCUUCGGUGUUGAUUCUGCUGAAGAAAAGACCUUGCUUGUGUCUGACCGCAUCAAAUUUACCUGUACAAUCUUGUCAUGGAUAGUGUGGAUUCUCUAAUUCGUGACAUAUUUCAUGUAAAUUUUCCUGUGAGUUUAGAGAAGCUAACCAUCUUAUGCUUUUGUUCACAUAUGAGGACUGGAACAUAAUGUUAUUGAUGUAAAUUUUCUGUAAGAUAAUUUUGGCAUGAUACAAUUUAUGCNNNNNNNNNNNNNNNNNNNNNNNNNNNNNNNNNNNNNNNNNNNNNNNNNNNNNNNNNNNNNNNNNNNNNNNNNNNNNNNNNNNNNNNNNNNNNNNNNNNNNNNNNNNNNNNNNNNNNNNNNNNNNNNNNNNNNNNNNNNNNNNNNNNNNNNNNNNNNNNNNNNNNNNNNNNNNNNNNNNNNNNNNNNNNNNNNNNNNNNNNNNNNNNNNNNNNNNNNNNNNNNNNNNNNNNNNGUAGUUGACUGUUUGGUUUCUGGAGGUUUUUGUUUUGGUGGAUUGCUAGUGUUCCCUAGCCUCUGCUUUCUAUAAACGCAGGCACGUAUGGUCUUCUCUCUAAAACGAAAAUACUUGCCGAAUCAAAGAGGAGACUUGCGCAGGCCAAAAGGGUGGAUGCCUUUGUUGGUUUGCUAUAGGAACGUACCAUUCUUCUCUGAAUCAUGCACCUAAAUUUCAUAUUAGCAAACACUGUUACAAACUGAAACUGUUAUUUCUGGGUUUGUCAGUUGUACCGCACGUUUAUUUAUUUAUUUUCGUAUUUUCUACAUGUGAGCAAAAAAAAUGGCAUUCCACAAAGGGGAAACUAGAUUGAACAAUCUUUACCGGUUGCACUGGGUUAUGGCAUCUUCAACGCGUCUACAUUCAUAGAGAUAAUGAACAUAGAUAACUCUGCGUAGCAUUGACGCCUACGCCUAUGAGACAUGGAAAAUAAUACUCCCUCCAAUUCAUAGUUUGAAUUUUUCUUGUUAGAAAAUGGAAGAGAAAACCGAGCACACUCGUACCCUUCCACAAAACCGGUAGCUUUUGAGAAAAAACCAGCUCCCCUUCGCGACGUGUUGAUCGAGGAGUUUUUCUCACCUAUGACUUGCAGGGAUUGGGUGAUCAACACCUGAACCCCGUGGGGGAUGACUCCCUGUCAUGAUCUCCCAUUCGAUUAACCCCACGCCGCCGGUUCCGUCGCCUUGACAAGAGACACACAUACAGGAGAGAAACGAAGCUGAUUUUUCCGGGGAGGGGAGGGAGGGGGGUAGGAGCUGAUUUUUUUUCCACGUGGUUUUGAGGGGUUUGGGUUGGGGUACAUUGCCGAAUGCACCAGAUCAAACAAAUUGGGAUUAUUUCCUAGUGGGGCCGAUCCGUGUGGAUCCCCGUAGUUUGGGCCCAAAAGCACGCUGGGGAGGGCGUAACCGAACAUAGCCUUAGAGUGAGUGAUCCCUCCGCCAAGUGAUAUUUGGGUCUGAUAAUUUAUUUUUCUAACAAUGAUCGAUGAUUUUGCAUAUAUUUUAUCAUAGUACAAUGUGACUACGAUAAUUGCGGGGUCACUAUAUGAGUUUGUUUCAGUUAUGUUCUAAAUAUGCUUUUGGGUUUGAAAACCAGUUCAUGUUCUUUUUUUCUUGAAAAACACUUUCUCUUAUAUUAAUGUAUUAAAUGUUAUUACAAUCGUUCUAUACAUCAUUCGCCAUGCAGUGCGAAAAACUAUUUAGGAGAAAACCAUCCGACCUAUUAUCAAAGUUAAAUUUAGCAGUCCAUGGGCCAUCGUAUUGAUGCUUGAUCUUCGAAAGCUUAAAGCUAUGAAGAAACUUAGUGAUGCUCUUCUUUAGAUUAACAAGAGGAGACCUGCCAAGGUUUUCAUUUGCAAGGAAAGAAACCACAAUCACACAAUCAUCCAUAGAUGUAUCUCUUCUCCUCUUAUACAAGGGCUCUAGAUGAGUCAAAUCCAAUCCCAAAAACAUCCCAUGGAGGCCAAGAAAGUCAUAGGAACAAACGGGGAGGAAAUCCAUGAAGAAUCCUGUCUGUUCUGGGCGAUUUCGUGCUUUUUCUGGGCCUAGUAUGACCGCCGGUAUGACCCAUCCUGGUCAUACUGUGCGUCGUCAAAAGCUCUGGACCCCUUCGGUAUGGUGUCCAUAACUUUUGCAUACAAACUCCAAUUUUAACGUUUAGGCUCGCUGGAAUCACAUGAACGUCGGCAAUGUACUUAUGGUAUUAAAUAUUUAUUCUGAUCCAUUUGAAAAUAUAUUAUUAUUUUUACAUUUCAAAUGCCUAAGUCUGGUGCUCGGAAGUCCUCCGCAUUGAACUCAUCUUUGAGCUUUUCAUCGUGCUUGGUCCUUGGUUGCUCCCAAACACCUGUAAACUCACAAAAAAGUAUAAUAAAAACUAAAUAAAAACAUAAAAUAUGCAAUGCUCACAAUGAAAAGAGUGAAAACAAGAAAACAUGCAUAGUGGACAUAUACUUGGUUCAAUGGGACAUUACAUAUGAAGAUAAUGUGCAACAACUGAACUCUAAAAAUGCGCAAACAUAGUCAUCAAUAACACCUAAAUGACCCUACACUAGGGUGGACAACAAUAAUGAUGCAUGUGGGCACUGCUUCCUUCUGGAAGGUGUUGUUCAUGUAAUGUGCUCGCUCUUUUGUUCAUAUGAACUCUAGCGAAACCUCAAGUCAUCUAGGCGAUUAGAUGAUGGUGGCCCUUGUGCCUCGCAUAAUCCUUAGGGAAUAUCCUUGGAAUUAGCACCGGUGGGAGGGCCCAUAGUUGACAAUGAUCAUUAGAGGCGGUGCAUCGACAAUGUGAUCUCCGUUCGACCAAAGUUGCGGAAUGGUUGGUGGGUGUUGUUGGAAAUAUGCCCUAAAGGCAAUAAUACAUUAAUUAUUAUUAUAUUUCCUUGUUCAUGAUAAUCGUUUAUUAUCCAUGCUAGAAUUGUAUUGAUAGGAAACUCAGACACAUGUGUGGAUACAUAGACAACACCAUGUCACUAGUAAGCCUCUAGUUGACUAGCUCGUUGAUCAAUAGAUGGUUACGGUUUCCUGACCAUGGACAUUGGAUGUCAUUGAUAACGGGAUCACAUCAUUAGGAGAAUGAUGUGAUGGACAAAGACCCAAUCCUAAGCCUAGCACAAGAUCAUGUAGUUCGUAUGCUAAAGCUUUUCUAAUGUCAAGUAUUAUUUCCUUAGACCAUGAGAUUGUGCAACUCCCGGAUACCGUAGGAGUGCUUUGGGUGUGCCAAACGUCACAACGUAACUGCGUGGCUAUAAAGGUACACUACAGGUAUCUCCGAAAGUGUCUGUUGGGUUGGCACGAAUCAAGACUGGGAUUUGUCACUCUGUGUAAACGGAGAGGUAUCUCUGGGCCCACUCGGUAGGACAUCAUCAUAAUGUGCACAAUGUGAUCAAGGAGUUGAUCACGGGAUGAUGUGUUACGAAACGAGUAAGGAGACUUGCCGGUAACGAUAUUGAACAAGGUAUCGGGAUACCGAUGAUCGAAUCUCGGGCAAGUAUCAUACCGCUAGACAAAAGGAAAUUGUAUACGGGAUUGAUUAAGUCCUUGACAUCGUGGUUCAUCCGAUGAGAUCAUCGUGGAACAUGUGGGAGCCAACAUGGGUAUCCAUAUCCCGCUGUUGGUUAUUGGCCGGAGAGUCGUCUCGGUCAUGUCUACAUGUCUCCCGAACCCGUAGGGUCUACACACUUAAGGUUCGGUGAUGCUAGGGUUGUAGGGAUAUGUAUAUGCAGUAACCCGAAAGUUGUUCGGAGUCCCGGAUGAGAUCCCGGACGUCACGAGGAGUUCCGGAAUGGUCCGGAGGUAAAGAAUUAUAUAUAGGAAGUGCUAUUUCGGCCAUCGGGACAAGUUUCGGGGUCACCGGUAUUGUACCGGGACCACCGGAAGGGUCCCGGGGGUCCACCGGGUGGGGCCACCUAUCCCGGAGGGCCCCAUGGGCUGAAGUGGGAAGGGAUCCAGCCCAAAGUGGGCUGGGGCGCCACUUCCCUCUAGGGCCCAUGCGCCUAGGGUGGAAAAAACCCUAGGGGAAGAGUCCCAAAAGGGGAAGGCACCCCCUAGGUGCCUUGGGGAGGAGGGACUCCUCCCUUGGCCGCCGCCCCCCCUAGGAGAUUGCAUCUCCUAGGGCUGGCGCCCCCUCCAUAGGCUCCCUAUAUAUAGUGGGGAAGGAGGGCCUCUCAACCUACGCCUUGGUGCCUCCCUCUCCCUCUCCAACACCUCAUCAUCCUCCAUAGAGCUUAGCGAAGCCCUGCCGGAGUACUGCAGCUCCAUCACCACCACGUCGUCGUGCUGCUGCUGGAGCCAUCUCCAUCAACCUCUCCUCCCCCCUUGCUGGAUCAAGAAGGAGGAGACGUCGCUGCUCCGUACGUGUGUUGAACGCGGAGGUGCCGUCCGUUCGGCGCUAGGAUCAUCGGUGAUUUGGAUCACGACGAGUACGACUCCAUCAACCCCGUUCUCUUGAAUGCUUCCGCGCGCGAUCUACAAGGGUAUGUAGAUCCACUCCUCCCUCGUUGCUAGAUGACUCCAUAGAUAGAUCUUGGUGACACGUAGGAAAAUUUUGAAUUUAUGCUACGUUCCCCAACAGUGGCAUCAUGAGCUAGGUCUAUGCGUAGUUUCUAUGCACGAGUAGAACACAAAGUAGUUGUGGGCGUUGAUUUUGUUCAAUAUGCUUACCGUUACUAGUCCAAUCUUGAUUCGACGGCAUUGUGGGAUGAAGCGGCCCGGACCAACCUUACACGUACGCUUACGUGAGACCGGUUCCACCGACUGACAUGCACUAGUUGCAUAAGGUGGCUGGCGGGUGUCUGUCUCUCUCACUUUAGUCGGAUCGGAUUCGAUGAAAAGGGUCCUUAUGAAGGGUAAAUAGCAAUUGGCAUAUCACGUUGUGGUUUUUGCGUAGGUAAGAAAUGUUCUUGCUAGAAACCCAUAGCAGCCACGUAAAAUAUGCAAACAACUAUUAGAGGACGUCUAACUUGUUUUUGCAGGGUAUGCUAUGUGAUGUGAUAUGGCCAAAGGAUGUGAUGAAUGAUAUAUGUGAUGUAUGAGAUGAUCAUGUUCUUGUAAUAGGAAUCACGACUUGCAUGUCGAUGAGUAUGACAAUCGGCAGGAGCCAUAGGAGUUGUCUUAAUUUAUUUAUGACUUGCGUGUCAACAUAAACGUCAUGUAAUUACUUUACUUUAUUGCUAACCGUUAGCUGUAGUAGUAGAAGUAAUAGUUGGCGAGGCAACUUCAUGGAGACACAAUGAUAGAGAUCAUGAUGAUGGAGAUCAUGGUGUCAUGCCGGUGACGAUGAUGAUCAUGGAGCCCCGAAGAUGGAGAUCAAAAGGAGCAAUAUGAUAUUGGCCAUAUCAUGUCACUAUUUGAUUGCAUGUGAUGUUUAUCAUGUUUAUACAUCUUGUUUGCUUAGAACGACGGUAGUAAAUAAGAUGAUCCCUCAUUAAAAUUUCAAGAAAGUGUUCCCCCUAACUGUGCACCAUUGUGAAAGUUCGUCGUUUCGAAGCACCACGUGAUGAUCGGGUGUUUAGAUUCUAACGUUCACAUACAACGGGUGUAAGACAGAUUUACACACGCAAAACACUUAGGUUGACUUGACGAGCCUAGCAUGUACAGACAUGGCCUCGGAACACAAGAGACCGAAAGGUCGAGCAUGAGUCGUAUGGUAGAUACGAUCAACAUGAAGAUGUUCACCGAUGAUGACUAGUCCGUCUCACGUGAUGAUCGGACACGACCUAGUUGACUCGGAUCAUGUAAUCACUUAGAUGACUAGAGGGAUGUCUAUCUGAGUGGGAGUUCAUAAGAUGAACUUAUUUAUCCUGAACAUAGUCAAAAGGUCUUCGCAAAUUAUGUUGUAGCUCGCGUUUCAGUUCUACUGUUUAGUUAUGUUCCUAGAGAAAAUUUAGUUGAAAGUUGAUAGUAGCAAUUAUGCGGACUAGGUCCGUAAACUGAGGAUUGUCCUCAUUUCUUCAUAGAAGGCUUAUGUCCUUUAAUGCACCGCUCAGUGUGCUGAACCUCGAACGUCAUCUGUGGAUGUUGCGAACAUCUGACAUACAUGUUUUGAUGACUACAUGAUAGUUCAAUGUGCAAUGCUAAAUGGUUUAGAAUUGAGACACCAAAGACGUUUUGAAACGUCGCGAAACAUAUGAGAUGUUUCGAGGGCUGAAAUUGGGAUUUCAGGCUCGUGCCCACGUCAAGAGGUAUAAGACCUCCGACGAUUUUCUUAGCCUGCAAACUAAGGGAGAAAAGCUCAAUUGUUGAACUUGUGCUCAGAUUGUCUGAGUACAACAAUCGCUUGAAUCGAGUGGGAGUUGAUCUUCCAGAUGAAAUAGUGAUGGUUCUCCGAAGUCAUUACCACCAAGAUGCUAGAGCUUCAUGAUGAACUAUAAUAUAUCAGGGACAUAUAUGAUGAUCCUUGAGAUAUUCGUGAUGUUUGACACCACAAAAGUAGAAAUCAAGAAGGAGCAUCAAUUGUUGAUGGUUGGUGAAACCACUAGUUUCAAGAAGGGCAAGGGCAAGAAGGGAUACUUCAUGAAACGGCAAAUCAGCUGGUGCUCUAAUGAAGAAACCCAAGGUUGAACCCAAACCCGAGACUAAGUGCUUCUGUAAUAAAGGGAACAACCACUGGAGCAGAAUUACCCUAGAUACUUGGUAGAUAAGAAGGCUGCCAAGGUCGAUAGAAGUAUAUUGGAUGUAUUAUAUUAAUGUGUACUUUACUAGUACUCCUAGUAGCACCAGGGUAUUAGAUACCGGUUCGGUUGCUAAGUGUUAGUAACUCGAAAUAAAAGCUACGGAAUAAACGGAGACUACCUAAAGGUGAGAUGACGAUAUGUGUUGGAAGUAUUUCCAAGGUUGAUCAAAUAUCGUACGCUCCCUCUACCAUCGAGAUUGGUGUUUGCGUUGAGCAUAGACAUGAUUGGAUUAUGUCUAUCGCAAUACGGUCAUUCAUUUAAAGAGAAUAAUGGUUACUCUGUUUAUUUGAAUAAUACCUUCAAUGGUCUUACACCUGAAAUGAAUGGUUUAUUGAAUCUCGAUCGUAGUGAUACACAUGUUCAUGCCAAAAGAUAUAGGAUAGUAAUGAUAGUACCACCUACUUAUGGCACUUCCACUUAAGUCAUAUCGGUAUAAAACGCAUGAAGAAGCUCCAUGUUGAUGGAUCUUUGGACUCACUCAUUUUUGAAAAGUUUGAGACAUGCGAACCAUGUCUAUUGGUGUAUAUGCAUGAAGAAACUCCAUGCAAAUGGACCAUUUGGACUCACUUGAUUUUGAAUCACUUGAGACAUGCAAAUCAUACCACAUGGGCAAGAUGACUGAAAGCCUUGUUUUCAGUAAAAUGGAACUAGAAAGCAACUUGUUGGAAGUAAUACAUUUUGAUGUGUGCAAUCCAAUGAGUGCUGAGGCAUGUAGUGGAUAUCGUUAUGUUCUUACUUCACAGAUGAUUUGAGUAGAUGUUGAGUAUAUUUACUUGAUGAAUCACGAGCCUGAAUUAUUGAAAGGUUCAAGUAAUUUCAGGGUGAAGUUGAAAGAUCGUCGUGACAAGAGGAUAAAAUAUCUAUGAUAUGAUCAUAGAGAUGAAUAUCUGAAUUACGAGUUUGGCACAAAAUUAAGACAUUGUGGAAAUUGUUUCACAACUAAUACAGCCUGGAACACCAUAGUGUGAUGGUGUGUCAAAACAUCAUAACUGCACCCUAUUGGAUAUGAUGCAUACCAUGAUGUCUCUUAUCGAAUUACCACGACAGUUUAUGGGUUAGGCAUUAAAGACAACCACAUUCACCUUAAAUAGGGCACCACGUAAUUCCGAUGAGAUGACACCAUAUGAACUAUGGUUUAGAGAAACCCAAGCUGUCAUUUCUUAGAAGUUUGGGACUGCGAUGCUUAUGUGAAAAAGUUUCAGGCUGAUAAGCUCGAACCCAAAGCGGAUAAAUGCAUCUUCAUAGGACACCCAAAACAGUUGGGUAUACCUCCUGUCUCAGAUCCGAAAGCAAUAAGGGAUUGUUUCUAGAAUCGGGUCCUUUCUCGAGGAAAAGUUUCUCUCGAAAGAAUUGAGUGGGAGGAUGGUGGAGACUUGAUGAGGUUAAUGAACCGUCUCUUCAACUAGUGUGUGGCAGGGCACAGGGAGUUGUUCCUGUGGCACCUACACCAAUUGAAGUGGAAGCUUAUGAUAGUAAUCAUGAAACUUCAGAUCAAGUCACUACCAAAUCUCGUGGGAUGACAAGGAUGCGUACUACUUCAGAGUAGUACGUAAUCCUGUGUUGGAAGUCAUGUUGCUAGACAACAAUGAACCUACGAGCUAUGGAGAAGCGAUGGUGGGUCUGGAUUCCGAUAAAUGGCUCAAGGCCAUAAAAUCUGAGAGAGGAUCCAUGUAUGAAAACAAAGUGUAGACUUUGGAAGAACUACUUGAUGGUCGUAAGGCUGUUGGGUACAUAUGGAUUUUAAAAGGAAGACGGACAAUGAUGGUAAGUAUCACCAUUAAGAAAGCUCGACUUGUCGUUAAGAUGUUUUCCGACAAGUUCAAGGAGUUGACUACGAUGAGACUUUUCUCACUCGUAGCGAUGCUAAGAGUCUGUUGGAAUUAUAUUAGCGAUUACUGCAUUAUUUAUGAAAUCUGCAGAUAGGAUGUCAAAACAUUGUUUCCUCGACGAUUUUCUUGAGGAAAGGUUGUAUGUGAUACAACCGGAAGGUUUUGUCAAUCCUGAAAGAUGCUAAUAAGUAUGCAAAGCUCCAGCAAUCCUUCUAAGGACUGGGGUAAGCGUCUCGGAGUUGGAAUGUAUGCUUUGAUGAGAUGAUCAAAGAUUUUGGGUGUAUACAAAGUUUAUGAGAAACUUGUAUUUCCAAAGAAGUGAGUGGGAGCACUAUAGAAUUUCUGAUGAGUAUAUGUUGUUAACAUAUUGUUGAUCAGAAAUGAUGUAGAAUUUCUGGAAAGCAUGCAGAGUUAUUUGAAAAGUGUUUUUCAAAGGAAAGCCUGGAUUAAGCUACUUGAACAUUGAGCAUCAAGAUCUAUAAGGAUAGAUCAAAACGCUUAAUGGUACUUUCAAAUGAGCACGUACCUUGACAUGAUCUUGAAGGUGUUCAAGAUGGAUCAGUCAAAGAAGGAGUUCUUGCCUGAGUUGUAAGGUAUGAAGUUAAGACUUAAAGCUCGACCACGGCAGAAUAGAGAGAAAGGACGAAGGUCGUCCCCUAUGCUUAAGACAUAGGCUCUACAGUAUGCUAUGCUGUGUACCGCACCUGAAAUGUGCCUUGCCAUGAGUCAGUCAAGGGGUACAAGAGUGAUCUAAGAAUGGAUCACAGGACAGCGGUCAAAGUUAUCCUUAGUAACUAGUGGACUAAGGAAUUUUCUCGAUUAUGGAGGUGGUAAAAGAGUUCGUCGUAAAGGGUUACGCCGAUGCAAACUUUGACACUAAUCCAGAUUAUUCUGAGUAGUAAACUGGAUUUGUAUAGUAGAACAGUCAUUUGGAAUAGCUCCGAAUGUAGCGUAGUAGUUGCAUCUACAAGAUGACAUAAGAAAUUUGCGAAGUACAUACGGAUCUGAAUGUUGCAGACCCGUUGACUAAAACCUCUCUCACAAGCAAAACAUGAUCAAACCCCAGAACUCAUUGAGCCUUAAUCACAUGAUGAUGUGAACUAGUUUAGUGACACUAGUAAACUCUUUGGAUGUUGGUCACAUGGCGAUGUGACCUGUGAGUGUUAAUCACAUGACGAUGUGAACUAGAUUAUUGACUCUAGUGCAAGUGGGAGACUGUUGGAAAUAUGCCCUAGAGGCAAUAAUAAAUUAGUUAUUAUUAUAUUUCCUUGUUCAUGAUGAUCGUUUAUUAUCCAUGCUAGAAUUGUAUUGAUAGGAAACUCAGAUACAUGUGUGGAUACAUAGACAACACCAUGUCCCUAGUAAGCCUCUAGUUGACUAGCUCGUUGAUCAAUAGAUGGUUACGGUUUCCUGACCAUGGACAUUGGAUGUCAUUGAUAACGGGAUCACAUCAUUAGGAGAAUGAUGUGAUGGACAAAGACCCAAUCCUAAGACUAGCACAAGAUCAUGUAGUUCGUAUGCUAAAGCUUUUCUAAUGUCAAGUAUCAUUUCCUUAGACCAUGAGAUUGUGCAACUCCCGGAUACCAUAGGAGUGCUUUGGGUGUGCCAAACGUCACAACGUAACUGGGUGGCUAUAAAGGUACACUACAGGUAUCUCCGAAAGUGUCUGUUGGGUUGGCACGAAUCGAGACUGGGAUUUGUCACUCUGUGUAAAUGGAGAGGUAUCUCUGGGCCCACUCGGUAGGACAUCAUCAUAAUGUGCACAAUGUGAUCAAGGAGUUGAUCACGGGAUGAUGUGUUACAAAACGAGUAAAGAGACUUGCCGGUAACGAGAUUGAACAAGGUAUCGGGAUACCGACGAUCGAAUCUCGGGCAAGUAUCGUACCGCUAGACAAAAGGAAAUUGUAUACGGGAUUGAUUAAGUCCUUGACAUCGCGGUUCAUCCGAUGAGAUCAUCGUGGAACAUGUGGGAGCCAACAUGGGUAUCCAGAUCCAGUUGUUGGUUAUUGGCCGGAGAGUCGUCUCGGUCAUGUCUACGUGUCUCCCGAACCCGUAGGGUCUACACACUUAAGGUUCGGUGUCGGUGUACUAGAGUAGGGGUACCCUAGUAUCCCGAACUCGUGCACGGGCAGUUGCAGCGCCCCGCGGCAAGGCUUGCCGGGUGACCGCCAAGACCCUCCGUGGUUCCCUUGAAGAUCAUUCAAGAACAAAGUACUCAAACCAAGACCCCGGCAAGAGGAGCUUGCCGGGAAGGCCAACCAAGGCCCCGGCAAGAGGAGCUUGCCGGGAAGGCCAACCCAGGCCCCGGCAAGAGGAUCUUGCCGGGAAGAGACAAGACCCCGGUAAGAGGAGCUUGCCGGGAAGGCCACUCAAGGCAUACCAAGAAAGCUUGCCGCGACGCGCCCUGCGUCCCGGCAAGGCCCGGUGAGCAACAAGCUCCCAAACACGACAAGACGACGACCGCGGCAAGGAGCUUGCCGCGGGAAACCCCCACUUCGUGCCCGCGCUCCAGCACACCUGCUAACGUGUCGCUUUAGGACUCUCCCAAGCACACGUGGCAGGAGGCCGCGCAGCUAGGGGUGCGUGGUGGCAAGCGGAGAUGAAGAGAAGGCCAUCGUGGCAAACGGUGGCGCUCCUAACGGUCACUUUUUGUACUGUUUAGGCAACUCAGACAGGCAUUCAAUGACCUUGUCCCCUGUCGUCAGAGUUAGGUAGGGUGCACUGUGUCCACAGUAGCGGUAGCUGCACCUACCGCAUCCUUUUCCAUUUUUACCCUUCUAGUCUACGUUGCCACCUGUCGGUGACCCCUUGAAAGUAUAAAAGGAGGCCCAAGUGCAACGUAGAAGGGGUUGGGGCUCAUUCGAAACACCAGAAACACUCCCACGCUCAGUCUGAUAGCGUUCAUCGCUCCUGAGCAAAGAAUUCAAUACACACAAACAAGCAGCAGUAGGGUUUUACGCAUCCGUGCGGCCCGAAGCUGGGUAAAACUGCUCGCGUGUACCGCCUUGAUCCGCUCUUUGUGCAGCCUCCGCCCCCCUUCGAACCGAAAGGGGCUCGGUCCGCCGAUCCCCAUAGGUGUUCGUGGAUCAGCUUCCCCGACAUCUUUGGCGCGCCAGGUAGGGGGCGUCGAGAUUGUGCGAACCCGAUCCGGCGGGCACGCAAGCUAAAUCUUCAUCAUCUUCAUCGACAUGCCACCAAAGAAGAAGGCUUCGACGGCAGCUGUUCCGUCCACGUCAAGGCUCAGCUGUUCUUCAUCGCCAUGGCUCCUAAGAAGCAGGCGACCAAAAGAACGACGCCAGUGCGGCAACAGAAAAGCUAAGUCAUGCGAAAUUUUAGAUAUUUCCUUUCUAUAUAAGGUUAUCCGCCUCGGAGAUCUCGUUCUUUGUAUGGAAAACCUGUGCGCGGAGGAACCAAAUCGUAGCUAGUUGCACCCUUAUUUUGUUUCGAGUCCGCUCAACAACUUAAGCGAGCUGCAACUAGCUGCGACAAGGUUUCUUGUCGGUAGCGGCACUGCCAGCAGGCUGCUGACGUCCCGCACUCAGCGCUCGCGGAUAAAGGUGCCUGCGCCGACAAGUUCCCUAAAAGCGUAGGGUGAACGUACAAAGAGAGGUUGAACAGGAAGAUAGCAUGCACUAUUUAUUUGAGAUUUCUGCAUAGACCUGUAUGCCAAGGAGCCUUCUCGGGGCUAGUUGCGCUCCAUGUUGCCUCGAGUCCGCUCGGCAACUUGUGCGGUUGCGCUAGAACCAAGAAGGUAAACCUUUUCGGGAGGCGAUGUUCCCGAAUAGCCGCUAAGGGCCCGUUCCCUCAAGCGCUGCUGGCUGGAUCGUACGCACCGGAAAGCAUUCCAACAGGCAUAGGGAAUAUGCAGCAAAAGUCAAAAUUCGCAAGCGAGUUAAGUGCACUUCAGAUGCUAAUCACUUGUCAUGUUUAAACGCAGUUAUGGCCCGGGGGCUGGCAACGCCCUUAGGACCAAUCUUUUUGGUGUCAAGAACGAUGAAGUUCUUCGCCAUAAGCCUUCCCGGCAACAAACUUGCCGGAAGCCGGCAUCGAGAACAUCAAAGUUCUCUGCUGAAGAUAAAAGCCUUCUCGGAAACAAGCUUGCCGGAAGACGGCAUCGAGAACGUCAAAGUUCUCUACUGAAGAUAAAAGCCUUCUCGGCAACAAGCUUGCCGGAAGACGGCAUCGAGAACGUCAAAGUUCUCUGCUGAAGAUAAAAGCCUUCUCGGCAACAAGCUUGCCGGAAGCCGGCAUCGAGAACGUCAAAGUUCUCUGCUGAAGAUAAAAGCCUUCUCGGCAACAAGCUUGCCGGAAGCCGGCAUCGAGAACGUCAAAGUUCUCUGCUGGAGAUAAAAGCCUUCCUGGCGACGAGCUUGCCGGAAGCCGGCAUCGAGAAUGUCAAAAGUCUCCGCGAGAAACAUAAGACCUCCCGGCAACAGCCUUGCCGGGAGCAAGAAAGGAAACAAAGCAACACUCUGGCAUCAUGUGGACCAGGCCGUUCAAGAAAGUUUCUCCUUGCCGGGAAGCAGACGACAGAAAAGCUAAGUUGCUAAAGUUUGAGCAAUCAGUUUUUUAAGUUUUUGAGUUAUUUUCCUUGAACGACCGUGCUUUGUAUGGAAAACCUGUGCACGGAGGAACCAACUCGUAGCUAGUUGCGCCUUUACUUUGUUUCGAGUCCGCUCAACAACUUAAGUGAGCUGCUAGCGCCCUUACUUUGCUUCGAGUCCGCUCAGCAACUUAAGUGAGCCGCUAGCGCCCUUACUUUGUUUCGAGUCCUCUCAACAACUUAAGUGAGCUGCAACUAGUUGCGACAAGGUUGCUUGUCGGUAGCGACCUCGCCAGCAGGCUGCUGAAGUUCCGCACUCGGCGCUCGCGGCAAGGGUGCCUGCACCGGCAAGUUUCCCUAGAAAGCGUAGGGCAGAACCAUACAAAGCCAAGAGUCGAGUAAAGGAAGUAACACAUCAAUUUUUCGCCUAAGAUAGAGUUAUAUUACAAAAAUAACUUGUCGCGCCUCUAAUAAAGUGUUCCCAUGACAUGACUGGCAGCGGCAAGAAAAGAAGAAAACGGACGGCCUAAUCUAUGCGACCGCCGUCAACCCUUUUGAUCUCGUUCACCCUGUCCACAAUGGGUGCGAUGAGGGCCUUAAGUGCGUCAAGAUCAGCGUCCGCCGGCAACCUCUUGAGGACGUUGGUGAGGUUGAGGCCCGGAUUGCGGAAGGCCACCUUCACCAGCACCUUCUCCAGAACUCCGGCACAAAUCGAGCGUGACUCGUCGGCCAACUGCUUUGGGAUCUAUUCCCGAAGUUGCUGGAGCGCCGCCGCCACGCCUUUGAAUAACAGAGUGAGCUUGGCGCUGGGUUGGAGUUCCUCGUCGGAAGAGUACCCGAAGCCUUCCACCCCGGGGUUAUAGCAUGCAUGCUAGAGGUCGAGUGUCCGUCCUUUUGCUUCUCUUUCGUUCGCAGGGCUCGCAUAUCCUGGCCAGACUGCUUGAGGACGAAAAGGAGAAGAAGGGCGCGCCGACACCUGGGCCCCGGCAAGCCAGUAUCGCUGGGGGCUGCGAGUGCCAAGAAUCAUCCACGACAAACUAGAAUUGUCGGGGCCUGCAAUAUCAGAUAAGUCUUUCAUCCCUCAUCAUGCAUCCUCUUAUGGACUGGGGAAUGCGAAACCGCGUUUCUUCCCGAAAACUGCCGUGCUCCCUCAACUCUAGGCCCUGGGGCUCGUUCUCGGGGCCAAGUUUGGACGUAGUCACGGCAGCAAAGGGAUGAAACGAGGAGACCGCACCCACCUCGUUCCCGCCUCCAUCUAAGGCGUGAGAAAGGUCGAGCGACGUGGGAAGGCGGCAGGGCUUGUUGCCGGGAGAUGAAAUGUCUGUCCGAGGGAUACCAAGGAUUUGCUCCUUGGCGUGGGUUCAACUCGCGAGACAAAUAACCCGGCAAGCAUCCCCUUUUCAUUAAAAAACAUCCCACUCAGGUACAGUCCAUAGAGGAUGAAAAACAUGAAAGAGAGGAUUACAAGUUUUAGAUACAGCUAAGGCCCGAAGGCUUACAAAUUAAAAAGAUAAGAUGCCCGUAAUCCCUUUCCUGUCCCUCUCUUCAGGAGGCAGGUCAAGGAGGCGAAAAGGGUAAAAGGAGCGCCUAGGCGAGCUACGGGUGCCAGAAGAAACCAAGAGAACAUCCCGGGGGCCGUCCGAAGGCUGGACAGCGAUGGCGGCGCUGGAAGCGGGGCUCGAAGACGGGGCGGCAGGACGUCAGCACGCUGUCGAGGGCACCACGCCCUCGUACUCCGACCUGACGGCCUUGUCGCCAGCCCUCUUCCCCUUCCGCAGCCUCCCUACGCCAGCCGCCCAAGGAGACGACCCCGGGGAGUUCAAGGAGCCGGCGACACGGAUGAUGGGGUCGCCGGUGCCACGCGAAGCGGCGCCUGACGCCUAGUCAGACCCGCCACCCCGCCGCCCGCUACCCUCAUCGUCGCUGUCGCUCUCCUCCUCGUCACUCUCGCUCGAGGAGGAGCCUUCGCUAUCGGAGGAGCUGUCCACGCAGCACUUCGCCCGAGUGCUGAAGCACCCGAAGACCUUGACGGAGAGGAGAUCGCCCUCCAUCAACUUAAAUGGAGGGUAAACCCCUCCAUCAGGCUGUGGAUACGGGCGAACGUCUUCCACCCUCGAUCAAGAUACAUCACAUUGGGGGCUGGGAAUACAACGCGGACUCGCGUGCCGCUGAUCCCACAGCCCCUCAUGUGCAGUCUCAGUGUCUCGGGCGGGUCCAACUCCAUCGCGCUCGCAAACGGAGCUGGAAGCCGGAGGCGACGAUGAGGCGCCCGGCGCAGCUUGACGAAGAACUCGCAAGGGUCGUCCCCUAUAUGGACCGCCGUGGGGGGAGGAGCCGCCGGCGGAGGCGAAGCUGGCGCGCCGCCCCGCCCACCUCUUCCCCGUCCGCCUCGACCUCGCCCCCUCCCUCUUCCCCUUGUGGCUGGCUCUGCCACCACGGGCGCGGGAGAGGGAGAGAUGCGCUGUCUGGCGGCGACCCUCGCCGCCACCGAUGAAGGGCCUGGGUUCCCUUUCUCCAUGGCGAAUGAGAGAAAGGGGAGCAGAAGCUGAAGAAAGGAGGAGAUGAGAGAGUGCGGGUUUCCGUGCUCCCCUCCCGCUCUUUAUAAAGGAGCGAGGUGGGGGCUCGGCCGCCCCGCUCAGCGAAUCAAGGCACGGGAAGAGCAGGGAGUCGGGGCCAACCCACUGCCUCUGCUCGCGACGGCCCAGUUUCCCACUUCCACCGUCCGCGACCCCAAGCGCAUGGGAGCCGCGUGGCGGGGAUGCAGAACCAAGGCGACGGAUGAGGCGGCCUCGCUCCGCCUCGUGAUCGCGGGGAGUGGACGUCCCGAACACCGUGCACCGGCCCCGUCCAGUAAAUGCACCAUGCCCCCACACCUACCUCCUUUAGGGAGGAGGGCGUGAACCGUCCCCAUCAUCGUGGCCUGACGCAUGCUCGAGGGGCUUAGCCCCGCGCACGCCGCCCGCGUCACCCACGACGCCGCAUUUGACGCGUGCCGUUCUGGGCGUGCGCGGUGGGAGCGGAGAGAUAUGCGGCGUGACCUAGGCCGCGCGUGCCCGUGCACUAUUUUGGGCCUGGCCCAACAGCGCUCGGCACCGUGUAUGGCCCAGGCCCGGGGGCUCCUGUCGGUGUACUAGAGUAGGGGUACCCUAGUAUCCCGAACUCGUGCACGGGCAGUUGCAGCGCCCCGCGGCAAGGCUUGCCGGGUGACCGCCAAGACCCUCCGUGGUUCCCUUGAAGACCAUUCAAGAACAAAGUACUCAAACCAAGGCCCCGGCAAGAGGAACUUGCCGGGAAGGCCAACCAAGGCCCCGGCAAGAGGAGCUUGCCAGGAAGGCCAACCCAGGCCCCGGCAAGAGGAUCUUGCCGGGAAGAGACAAGACCCCGGUAAGAGGAGCUUGCCGGGAAGGCCACUCAAGGCAUACCAAGAAAGCUUGCCGCGACGUGCCCUGCGUCCCGGCAAGGCCCGGUGAGCAACAAGCUCCCAAACACGACAAGACGACGACCGCGGCAAGGAGCUUGCCGCGGGAAACCCCCACUUCGUGCCCGCGCUCCAGCACACCUGCUAACGUGUCGCUUUAGGACUCUCCCAAGCACACGUGGCAGGAGGCCGCGCAACUAGGGGUGCGUGGUGGCAAGCGGAGAUGAAGAGAAGGCCAUCGUGGCAAACGGUGGCGCUCCUAACGGUCACUUUUUGUACUGUUUAGGCAACUCAGACAGGCAUUCAAUGACCUUGUCCCCUACCGUCAGAGUUAGGUAGGGUGCACUGUGUCCACAGUAGCGGUAGCUGUACCUACCGCAUCCUUUUCCAUUUUUACCCUUCUAGUCUACGUUGCCACCUGUCGGUGACCCCUUGAAAGUAUAAAACGAGGCCCAAGCGCAACGUAGAAGGGGUUGGGGCUCAUUCAAAACACCAGAAACACUCCCACGCUCAGUCUGAUAGCGUUCAUCGCUCCUAAGCAAAGAAUUCAAUACACACAAACAAGCAGCAGUAGGGUUUUACGCAUCCGUGCGGCCUGAAGCUGGGUAAAAUUGCUCGCGUGUACCGUCUCGAUCCGCUCUUUGUGCAGCCUCCGCCCCCUCCGAACCGAAAGGGGCUCGGUCCGCCGAUCCCCAUAGGUGUUCGUGGAUCAGCUUCCCCGACAUUCGGUGACGCUAGGGUUGUAGGGAUAUGUAUAUGCAGUAACCCGAAAGUUGUUCGGAGUCCCGGAUGAGAUCUCGGACGUCACGAGGAGUUCCGGAAUGGCCCGGAGGUAAAGAAUUAUAUAUAGGAAGUGCUACUUCGGGCAUCGGGACAAGUUUCGGGGUCACCGGUAUUGUACCGGGACCACCGGAAGGGUCCCGGGGGUCCACCGGAUGGGGCCACCUAUCCCGGAGGGCCCCAUGGGCUGAAGUGGGAAGGGAUCCAGCCCAAAGUGGGCUGGGGCGCCACUUCCCUCUAGGGCCCAUGCGCCUAGGGUGGAAAAAACCCUAGGGGAAGAGUCCCAAAAGGGGAAGGCACCCCCUAGGUGCCUUGGAGAGGAGGGACUCCUCCCUUGGCCGCCGCCCCCCCUAGGAGAUUGCAUCUCCUAGGGCCGGCGCCCCCUCCCUAGGCUCCCUAUAUAUAGUGGGGAAGGAGGGCCUCUCAACCUACGCCUUGGUGCCUCCCUCUCCCUCUCCAACACCUCCUCAUCCUCCAUAGAGCUUAGCGAAGCCCUGCCGGAGUACUGCAGCUCCAUCACCACCACGCCGUCGUGCUGCUGCUGGAGCUAUCUCCAUCAACCUCUCCUCCCCCCUUGCUGGAUCAAGAAGGAGGAGACGUCGCUGCUCCGUACGUGUGUUGAACGCGGAGGUGCCGUCCAUUCGGCGCUAGGAUCAUCGGUGAUUUGGAUCACGACGAGUACGACUCCAUCAACCCCGUUCUCUUGAACGCUUCCGCGCGCGAUCUACAAGGGUAUGUAGAUCCACUCCUCCCUCGUUGCUAGAUGACUCCAUAGAUAGAUCUUGGUGACACGUAGGAAAAUUUUGAAUUUAUGCUACGUUCCCCAACAGGUGUUUCAUCUAAAGUUGCGUUGUUAAGUUUGUGACAUGUUCUUAGAUCAUCUCGUUCCUAUGUGACAUCUCUCGCUUCUUUUUAUGUGGUGUUAUUAGUUAUCAACCACACACUCGAUACUUAAGACGCCUUAUCUUGUUUGGUCAGAUGAGGAUGGAUGCCAAUAACCUACGCUUUGAUUGAGUUGACAAGAUCUUUGAAGCCGAGCUCUAUUCCCCUCCCCCUCUCCCUUAUCAUUGUAGUCCUUUUUUCUACUUCUUUUAGUGUAAUGAAAAAUGGUGGUGAUGUCUUUCGGGAAGUAAAUAAAUAAGGACCCGAAUAACUAGCGAGCGUUUGCAGGGAGGGUAUCAAUUGCGAAUGUAUUAGCUAGCAAUUUACGUUAGCCAAUUUUGUCGGAAACACGGGACAACUUCUAGGAAGAAGAAAAAAAAUAUUGUAAAAAAGACAGGAUUUGCCAUCUCCCACCACACAACUUGCCAUAAAUAAACGUUCCCUUGCCACUCCCUUCCUGGUUGACGUUCGCUAAUACUCCCUCCGUUUAGGUGAGUAAGUCAUUUUAGAUUGUGCACCGUGACCAAAGAGGAGAGAAAAACGAGAGACCUUAAUGUUUAUUUACUAAUUAAUAUCAUUGCAUGCAAUGAACUAACCACUGCAUGUCGUGUUUGGUAGUCUCAAGUCAUUAAGCAUGCAAACCCCUCGUUUCUUAUUAGUUGAUAUGUGAAGAAACAAAAAACGAGGUAGAAGUUAAUGCACCGCGCCUAAGUGUUUUGGAAUUAUUUGAUUUUCGUAAGAUGACUUACACACCUAGACGAAGGGAGUAACGUUUUCGAUAAAUAAAUACCAAGGCAAGCAAAACUCAUAAUCUAGCAAGUAGUAGUAAAAAAAAAAAAACUGUAAGGCCUUGUUCGGUUAAUUCUCAUUCCUCCCAAGGAUUGGAGGAGAUUUGGAAGAAUUUUGGCUUGUACGGGAUUUAACCCCCUUCAAAUCAGCACAACAGGAGGAGCUAGAGGGGACAGGCGGAGUGAGAAACGCCGUUCCGUCCCAGCCACAGCCACCCACACAAACCCAACACGCCUCGGCGUCCUCACCCGGUCACCCCCUCCCCACCACUCGUCGCCACUCACGCGCCGUGCGUGCCAGAAUGAGAUAGAAACUCCCCGCCCGCGCACGGCCGGAGAGCACCCCCGCAACCGCAGCGGCCCGCCCGACUCGCAUGACGCCGUCGCCGGCGUCCACGUCAGCCCCCGACGCCGGCAUGCUCGGCCGCCGCCUCGUGCUGCUCCCGGCGAGCGCCGCGGCGUCGUUGGCGCGCGGGGAGCGGAGGAGGGCGCGGCUCCGGCUGGGGUGCGUGCUCGAGCACGUGGCCCCGCGGCUCGCGCUGGCCUCGGCCGCGCUCGUAGGGGCCGGGGAGGUGAUCGCCGCGGCGGCCGUCGCGGGGGGAAGCGGCGGCGCGAUUCACGGCGCCGUGGCAUCCACUAUCGCGCAACUGGCGGUCUCGGCCGUGGCGAUCGCGUCAGGGGCGUGCCUGUCGACCAAGGUCGACUUCCUCUGGCCUCGCAUCGAGCAGCUGCCUGGUAGAUACCCUCUCUCUGCGUAGCAUGUACGGAGUAAUUUAUUCAAUUGUGAAUCACUAUGCUUCCAUUCCAUAUGUGCAACUAGCUAAUAAGCUCUGUUGAUCGCGUUCUAGACCAUCUAAAUCAUUGCGUCUUAGCUUUAUAUAUACAGUUUGUCUAAUUCACAUCUAGAUGUUUUUUAAGGAUGUCACAUCUAACCUCCCACAAGUAUAUAAUGCAUCAACAAGAAACAAAAAAGACUAGGACAAAAAAAAUAGACCACAAACAGAGUGAAAAUCAGCUUAGAUGUGACAUAACUAUGUCACAUCUAGAUGUGUCCUAGGCAGACCCAUAUAUAUAUAUUUGAAGUAAUUUAUUCGCAUGCUUGAAUUGUUGGAAGUAGCAGUUAAGUGAUGUAUGCACCGCAGAGCAUUUUACACCUCAUAGUGUACUCUUGUAGUAGUAUGACAUAACAAAUCAGUAAUAGGUUUGUUUCUUACUGCUUAGUUAACACUGUUGCCGCAAUAAGCCAGUAACAUUCCUAUGACCGCAGGCCCUGCACCCAUUUGAGUAAGAUAUGCAUCCGUUCUUUUGCCUACCUUACACUUUUAUUCUGUAUACGUGCAGAUACUCUUGUAUUUGAAGGAGUGGAGGUGACAGGAUAUCAAAUAUUUGAGGAUCCAAAGGUGUUAAAACAUUAGAGACAUUCUUAACAAAAAUUGUCAUAUAUAUGUAUUCACCUGAACUUUGACAUUUUUACUCCUUUAUUUGACAUCCUCAAUCCCGUGAUACAGGUGCAGAAAGCAAUUGUAUUUGCAAGUACAGCUCACAUUGGGCAAUUUAGGAGAACAGGAGACCCAUAUGUUACACACUGCAUACAUACGGGGAAAAUCUUAGCUGCCUUGGUCCCAUCCACUGGAGAAAGAGUAUGGCUGCGCUGCCCUUCUGUUUCUAUAGGUUUUAGUUGAUGAAUGCUCUCCUUCUUUCAUCUCUAAUCCCAUGGUUGCAUCUCAUGUAGGCAAUCAAUACCGUUGUUGCUGGUAUUCUUCAUGAUGUUAUUGAUGAUACAGCUGAGAACCUGAAGAGCGUAGCAGAGCAAUUUGGGGAUGAUGUUGCAAGCUUGGUAUCUGGUGUAUCAAAACUGAGCUACAUAAAUCAGGUUAUUCAUUUGUUAGUAAAGCAUUCUAUAUAAGCAUUUCUCUGCUAGUGCUAGCAUUGAUUCAUAAGUGCUAUCUCACUACCAUACAAUAUUGGGAUGCAAAUCAUGAUGGUGAAGACAUGAUUGAUAUAGUAAAUGUGCUUAUUAUUGCAUGAUGCACGCUGUAUUACUAAAAUUGUUGUUAAUGAAUUCAGUAUACGGUGACAUUCCUACCAGUUUUAAGUUCCAUCUCAGUCCUUUUUUCUCCUGAUGCUGAGUUAUUUUAAAUUUUCAGUCUACUUGCUUCAGAUGUCUCAAUACACCAUAUGCAUGCCAAUUUGCUCUGUCCUUGUUGCAUAAUGCAGUUCAUCCCUUCCUAUUGUUAUUUUGAAAGAUCAUAAUCACUGCAUUGUGUAACACUUUCUGUCGUCUGUACUUUCUUUCUCUUCAACAUGUUUUUGCCAUUGUCCAUGACUAUGAGCUUUACAUUACAGCUACUGCGCAGGCAUCGGCAAAAAAACACUGGUGGAAGCACUCUUACUUCUGAAGAAGUAUGUUCCAUUCCUUAUUAAGCUACUCUUAGAGAUUGUUAAUGCUUAAUGUCCACUCUCUUUUCCUAUGAUUUUUCUUAUUAAUAAAAAUUAGUUCCAAACAGUGCAUUGGUAUAUUUGUAAUUUGCCAUAAAAACAUAUGAUGCUGCUCCCAAAAAACUCAGGAAUUUAUGAUUGUCCUGUUGUCAGCCAGGCAAACAACCUGCGUGCUAUGCUAUUGGGGAUGGUUGAUGAUCCUCGUGUGGUGCUUAUCAAGCUGGCAGACCGCUUGCACAAUAUGCGAACAAUGUAAGUUAUUUAGGCUUCUCCUUACUAUGUAGCUUGCUGUACACGUAAAACCUGCCGUUUAAUCUGAAGUAUUUAGUAUCUUCAAUUGUAAUACUCCCUCUGAUCCAUAUUAGUUGUCACUGCUUUAGUACAACUUUAGUACAAAGUUGUACUAAAGCAGCGACGAUUAAUAUGGAUCGGAGGGAGUACCGAUUUUUCUGGCUUGUCACAUGACAAUAUCCUUGACAAUACCUCCAUGAUAUGUUUUUUGUGAGCUUCUAAUGAUUCUCAUCAGCAAUUUCUGUUUCACCUUACCAUAAAGACCAACUGCUAGAGUCAGUGAUGCAAAAUGAACCGGCCUUAACUAUCUUGUUUGUCUUGUUCCCAUCUGGAACUUACUGUGUAUUUCCCCUUCAAACCAGCAGUGGUACUUGUUUCGAAUCAUUUAUGUCCAUCAGCAUCGUAACACACUCCUUUAGUUGCCUUAUUGCCAGCACCUCAGCAUUCUCUAUAUGUAUUGAAAUGCUCCUACUUUUAACUUAAGUAUGCUUUCAAAUAGCUAUUGGAUUAUGUAAAUGGUUGUGUGCUUACUAAGAUCAGCAUUUCAGCUAUGCUCUUCCCAUUCCAAAAGCUGAGGCUGUUGCUCAAGAGACAUUAGCUGUCUGGUGCUCACUUGCUUCUCGAUUGGGAGUCUGGGCUUUGAAAGCUGAGCUAGAAGACUUAUGCUUUGCUGUCCUUCAGGUUUUUAUUCUAUUAAGCAUAUGGGUUGCCUCCGAAAUGUUACUUUUGUUCAUCUGUAAUAUUACCCAGUGUGAUACGUCUUUUGGCUUUACUUGGUUCUGGAUACAUACCACGUGGGCUUUAUGUUGUGUAUUUGUUGUUAUGCUCUCUUCAAAUUUCAAGAGAUACUUUGUUCAUCUCAUGGUUAAUAGCCAUUAUAUUGUCGUAACUUUGAGUGUUUGACGCAAGAUUUGUUUGCAUGCCACACCACUUGAUGGGUCCCUCAAACAUGUUGAUUUGAUGCUUAGGAGCCAUUUUAUAAUGCAUGAUUGUGAUAAACUAGAUCUCUUUCACUGUUGGACCAAAAUGCUUAAAAUAUGUUUAGGCAGACCAAUUAGUAAUAUUUUGUGCAUUUGAAAGGGCCAAAGAGACCAUAUUCCAUUUAGUUCUGUCACUGGGCAUAUGCUGUUUUUUUUUGGGAUGAAAGCAUAGGCUGUUAUUUUGACCUAUUCAUCGAGUUACUCAUGUCUUGAUCUUGCAUCUGCAAUGAGGUUAUCAUGGUACCUCUUGUUUAGUACCAUUAUAGUUUGUAAUGCCUUAUUUUAUUCCGUGCAUCAUUAUUUUUAAAUGUUUCUUAUCUCCUUCAAAUUCUCGCAGCCCCAAGUUUUCAUGAAAAUACGAUCUGAACUUACUUCGAUGUGGAAUUCUACCAGCAAGGAUAAAAGCAUGAGAAGGUCAUCAAUUAGAAGUGAUUUGCUUGCCUCCACGAAGGAAGUGCACGCGACUUCCACCCAUGAUUUACUUAGUUCGAGCGACCAAGAACAAUCAAAUAUGGAGGUGCGUUAGUAAAUGAAUAUGUUCACUAGCAACAUAUACUAAACAAUCAGAUUGACUAACAUCGAUAUGUCAUGCAACUUUCACUUAUAUUGCCUCCCGUACCUCGCUUCCCUCAUCAGCAUAUGUAUGAUUGAACACAAUAAAUUCUUUAUCAUUCUCCUCAAACUGGUAUGCUUGAUAGCUUAUCUUAUUAUAAAUCCUUCCUUCACUGCAGGAUUUAUUGCAAGCUGUAUUGCCAUUUGACCUCUUUUUGGAUCGGAGAAGGCGCUCUGACUUCCUUAAUAAUCUCCAAAGUAAUUCUGAAGCAUCCAUACGAAAGCCUAAAAUUGUUGAUGACGCUGCUAUUGCAUUAACAUCUUUAGCAGCUUGUGAGGAAGAACUUCAGCAGGAAUUGCUUAUAACAACGUCGUAAGUUCACAACCUAGUGAUCUUAGGGAUGCCCAACUUCACAUCUAAUUAUCUAAAUCUGCAGUUCACAACCUAGUGAUCUUAGGGAUGCCCAACUUCACAUCUAAUUAUCUAAAUCUGCAUGCCCACUAGUAGCAUUGAGGUUCUCAUUCUUGAAUUACACUACAUCUUUUGCAGGUAUAUACCUGGGAUGGAAGUUAGGCUGUCAAGUAGACUCAAAAGCUUGUAUAGCAUCUACUGUAAGGUACCAUUAGUCAAUUGUUUGACUACAUACAAAUAGUAUUAUUCGUGUUGUUAAGUACUCCCUCCGUCCCAAAAUUCUUGUCUUAGAUUUGUCUAGAUACAGAUGUAUCUAAUACUAAAACGUGACUUGAUACAUCCGUAUCUAGACAAAUCUAAGACAAGAAUUUUGGGACGGAGGGAGUACAUGUGUAACCAAUGCAUUAUGAUCAUAAAUUUGAGAAUGUAUGUUGGAGUUGUCAGCCUUACUGAAAGAAUUUUCUUAUGGCGCGUACUUCUGCAUGUUGGAUUUGUUAGUUACUGACACAUUUUGUAUCAACAGAUGAAAAGGAAACGUGUAGGCAUUAGACAAGUAUACGAUGCUCGUGCGUUGAGGGUGAUUGUUGGAGACAAAAAUGGUGCAUUGCAUGGACCUGCAGUCAGGAGUUGCUACAGCAUCCUUGAUAUAGUACACAGGUUUCCUGUGAAUUUAAUUAUUUAUGUGGAGCUACCCAUGUCUAGAAGGUCUAGAUAUGCUGGAGUUGCUACUUGACCAAAUAAAUGCUUCAUUUGAUGUAUCGGUGUAGCAUCAUCAUAUUUCCGUGUAACUUGGCCUUUUUAUCAUUAUGGAUGUUCUUUGUGGCUAGUUUAAGUUCAUAUUUUAAUUGUCUGCUUUAUCUGCAUGUGCAGGUUAUGGACUCCAAUCGAUGGGGAGUUUGAUGACUAUAUUAUCAACCCUAAGGGCAGCGGUUACCAAGUAAGCAUCAUCUCUCACCAAAUAAAACAUCAUUAUGCAUUGCCAGGUGGUACUCUCAGCCACUUGUAGCCAGUAUUAAUGCGGAAGUAUGAAUUAAUCCAAAAAUUCGAGUGUGCUUAGUUUUGCUUGGGAACUGCUAAUCACCCAAGCUAGUAAUGGUAUUAUGCUGUCCAUACCAUGAACUAGCUUAGAGUUGAACCCUGACCUGCUUGUCGAAUCAAUUACUAGACUGCCUUGUUUACUGACUCCUUCCAUCCCCUAUUUGCACUUCAAUUUUCUGGUGGCUAUUUUCUGUUCUAGUCACUCCAUACAGCAGUUCAGGCAUCCGAUAGCUCACCGCUGGAGGUCCAAAUUAGGACCCAGGUAGAUAAAGUUUCUUCUUAUUUUGUUUGAAUAGAUGCUUAACAGUUCGUCCUGAUCCUGUUGGAGGUUGUUGUCCACAGCGAAUGCAUGAGUAUGCAGAGUAUGGACUGGCUGCGCAUUGGUUGUACAAGGAGAGCAGUGUUAACACGGGAAGUGGCAUGGGUAACAAGAUAAAACAAAGUACGUCGUAUGCAUCAAGUUCUUCAGAAGAUGAAAUAACAGACGGGGUGCCCUCAAAGUAUAUUUCUAUGAAAGUGGGGCAUCCGGUCCUCAGAAUUGAUGGUAAUCACUUACUGGCAGCUGUCAUUGUCAGGUAUAGCUUCAACUUCAGUUAUGAACAUACUUUGUUGUUUAUUUUGUAGCAUUGUUAUUGCAGUUGAUUUCUGAUUUGUGUAAGUCAAAUUGCAGCAUAGAAAAAGGGGCUAAAGAAUUGCUUGUUGCUGUACGUUUUACCCUUGAAGCUUCUGAAGAUGUAGCUGAGCGGCGAUCUUCCUUUCAGUUGAAGCGUUGGGAGGCUUAUGCUAGGCUUCAUAAGAAGGUAUAUCUGAUGAUGACAAUUUUUUGUUUAUGGAUUCUGCAUGUGAGAAGGCAUUUGUUUCUAUCUCACACUCAUACUUAUUUCAGGUAACUGAGAAAUGGUGGUGUGCACCAGGACAUGGUGACUGGUCAACAAACCUGGAGAAGUACACACUAUGCCGGGAUGGUAUAUACCAUAAGGUUUGCAUGGCUGAAACAUUACUACUUCGUAUCAAUUUGUUUCUAGUACUACAUUGUUGUUCAUAUGGUUGAUUGAUAUCCUGUACACCUUUAAUGUCUUUUGUAGCAAGACCAAUUUGGGAGACUUUUGCCGACAUUUAUUCAAAUAAUUGAUUUGACGGAAGAGGAAGAGGAGGAGUACUGGAUGGUUGUAUCUGCAGUAUUUGAAGGCAAAGAAACCUCCACCCUGACAUCUGAAUCGAGCAACGGUGAUAGAUCAACUUCCGACCUUCCAAUCUCUACUCCCUUGAGUGAUCCCAUCAACAACAAGGUCAACAUGUUGUUGCCAUUUCUGCCAUUUACUUUGUUUAGUGAAAGGAAACCUCGAAUCUCACUGCUUAUAUUCACUAUAUUUGUCAUAGGUCCAUUUGCUCAGGACAAUGCUUCAAUGGGAGGAGCAAGUACGCCGUCGAGCAUCGGUAGCGGAGAGAAGUCUCGGCUCGCUGACCGAUCCAAUUCUUCGUGAGGUGGCCAUCAUCUGCUGGCCGUAUGGGAAGAUAAUGAGGAUGAGUACUGGCAGCACAGCUGCUGACGCCGGUAGAAGAAUGGGUGUGGAUGGGAAGCUGCUUUGGGUGAAUGGCCAACUUGUGCUGCCUCAAACCGAGCUCAAGGAUGGAGAUAUAGUGGAAGUGAGGACGUAGUAGUUCUCAGGGUAAUUGAUCAGAUUGGCUCAUUGAUACAUACAGGGGAUGCAAAAUGCAAAAGAAUGAUAGACGUAGCCAAAACCUCGGAAGUGCACAGUCCAUCUGUGGAAAUGGAAAAUAAUCGAAGGAAGCAGGCAGGGAGUAACAAGGUGUUGUAUUCUGUACAUAUGCGACCAGGUACCAACUGUACGUGUCCUUGUUCACAGUAGUGGUGUACUAAUUUCUCAGCAUGUAAAAAAACAUGUACUUGCGUGUACUAUGUACAAUGACUAAUCGAGUUCUCUUAGCAGUGUUUGUAAUUCUGUACAUACUUGUUCUGGAUCACUUGUACUUCUCUGGUGUUGAACACGGAACUGCCAAACUGGAUAUGACAUGCUCGUUUCGGCUCUCGUAGUCGUCGCUAGGUAGUCUAUGAAUCUGGAUGUAAUUUUUAUUAUUUCUAAUGUUUGUUGUACUNNNNNNNNNNNNNNNNNNNNNNNNNNNNNNNNNNNNNNNNNNNNNNNNNNNNNNNNNNNNNNNNNNNNNNNNNNNNNNNNNNNNNNNNNNNNNNNNNNNNNNNNNNNNNNNNNNNNNNNNNNNNNNNNNNNNNNNNNNNNNNNNNNNNNNNNNNNNNNNNNNNNNNNNNNNCUGAGAAAAUAGUACAUAAUUACAAUUAUUUUUGAGCAAAUACGAGGGAGAAAACUAGAAUGUUCAAAAUAGAGACUCGUUGAUUUUUAACUCUUUUUUGUGCCGCAAGCAAACCCGUUCCUUUUCACACACACCCCAGCAACAAGGGAAACAGUUUCGUUCCACACGGAAACUCUCACCCGGUCUCAGUGAAAAUCGAUGAGGUUUCUAUUGGCUCGGCAAUAAUGUGAUGACCAACGAAGCAAAAACGAUCUCCAUUUAUGGCAAAAUCGGGAAGCCUCGAAGGAUCCAGCCACAGCCCCCGGAAUCAAUCAACGCCUUCCAAACUCGCAAAGCGAGGCGCGUCUACACCUCACGCUGUCCCGGGACCCACGCGGCAGCGAGACUGGUCAAAACCGGGAACAAUCAGAUCUGUGUGACAGCGUGUCCCGUCGCUCACUCGCACGGCGUCUCCCGCCCGGGCCCGCGCGCAGCGACGUGACUGGGGACAGCCUAGCCUAGAGGGUACGCGGAGCCCCGCGGAGCCGCCACGCGAUCUGGCCUGGCCCCUGUUCAAACAUUCAAAAAGGAAGGGCAGAGGGCAAACCCUAGGCAGGCGAGCGGAGCGCCGCCUCGCCCCCAACGGUCAUAAAGCCCUCCCCGAACGCGCGCUCCUAUAUAACCCCUCGCCCCCCGAUUAGCCCCGCCGCAUCUCAGCAUUCAUUUCGCCAUCCACGAGCAAAUCCAUCCGCCGCGCCACGGGAGGAGGAGGUAGGUAGGUGAGAGACAGGAGACGGGAGCGAUGGAGAUGGAGAUGCAGACGGCGGCGGCGGACAUGGACUUCAACGCCCUCUCGCGCCGCGAGCUCCAGGCGCUCUGCAAGCUCAACGGCGUCCGCGCCAACAUGACCAACCUCGCCAUGGUCGAGGCCCUCCAGUCCCUCGCCGCGGUAACGCGCCCUCCCUCCUCGGCUUCCCCCUUCCGAUUCGCGUUGUUGUUUUUGAGAUGCGGAUGGUUCGUUGCGGGACUCGUUAGGGUGGGGAUGAAUUUGGGCGUGGGGAUGGCCGUUUGAUGCGGGUUUUUGCUGUGGGUUAUUAGGUGGAUGGGAUCGACCAGAUCGGCACCACGCUCUGCCUCCCGACCCCGGGCAAGUCGGCGAUGAAGUCGGUCCUCAAGGCCGCGCCGGCGGCCGGGGAGGACCAGCAGCAUCUAGGAAGCCCGCUCCCGCGCGGCCGCCGCGUCUCGGUCAAGUCGCCCGAGGCCAUCCGGAUGGAAGUCGAGGAGGGCGAGGACGAGGUGAAGCGGAAUCUCGUCAAGGAGAUCGUGCGCACCCCUGGCGUCGCGCUGCGCAGCACCAGCCGCCGCCCGCGGGCCACGCCCGCGCCCCUCCCCCCGACUCCCGCGGCGGGCACUCUGCGGAGGAGCCAGAGGUCGAUUAAGAAGACCGAGAAGGCCAUGGAGGUCGAGGUGUCCACCACAAAGAGAUCGACUAGGAAGACGGCGAGAUCGAAGGCGAUGUUUGAUUUGGACCAGGAAGAAGCGGAUUCGACCGAACUCAAGGAGGAGAAGGUGCAUGAAGCAGAGCCCAAGGGUGAGAGUGAUUUCCUAACCUUAAUCACUAUGUUUGAUUGUUCGAUUGCAUGGGGGCAGUUUUUUUAUGCGAACAUUGUGAUCAUGCAGGCGUUACUUCUGAUGAGAAGUGCGAUGAUCCUGAGGAGGAGGAGGAGGAAGUUACAAAGCUUCCGGAAGAAGGAAACAGCAAAGCGGAUGAACCUGAGCAGGGAGAUGAAGGUGAUUAUGUUACUGAUUCUGGUUACUAUUAGAAUUAUGUGCCUGUUAUAAGUUGGUUUCUGUAUUGUUUGAGAAUAGUUACUGAUUCGGCUUCCUGAUUGUGCAGUGGUUUCUUCUGUUGUGCCCACUGAAUCUGCUGACAAGAGCUGUGAAGAUUCUAAGCUGGAGGAAGUUGUGGAAGAGGCUACCAAGCUCCAGGAAGGUGAGAUGGUUCACAUCACCGAUGCUUCAGAGUCCUUUCAGCCAAUCCUUGAUUAAGACUCUAGACUGGCAUUUUAAAAUUCAUCAAUUUGUUUCUCGGCUUAUCUGUACUGUUUAGGCAUAUAGAUUUGCAUUUUGACAUUCAUUCAUCUGGUUCUUGUUUAUCUGUAGUACUGAUUAGCACUCUGGAUUGUUCAUUUGGACUGAAAUGCUUCAUUUCAAACCUUCAUCUGUUUGUCUGUCUUAUCAAGAGCUUUCUGAAAUGUACUAUCCAUUUGUUUUUAAACUCUAGGCUGUGGCAGUUAAAAAUCUAUCCAUUUAUUCCUGUGUUAUUUGUACUCGGUCUAGAUUUACAUUUCAAAUUUCAUUCAUAUGUUACUUGUUUAUAUGUACUCAUUAGUACUCUGGAUUGUUGCCUUAGGACUAAAAUGUUUCAUUUCAAACUUCAUGUUCAUCUAUAGCGACUCUGAAAUGUAUCCAUUUGUUCCUUGCUUUAUCUGUAGCCAAUAUGACUUAACUGUAGCAUCCCAAAAUCCACCCAUGUCAUUGCUUUUGUAUUUUAUAAAUUUUGUCCUUUAUCUGUUGAUUCCAUUUGCUAAUUAUGAACCAUGAUGCAUCAGAAGCUGCAGUUGAGGAAGAACAGAAGCUUGCCAGUGCUGAGAAGUCUGUUCCCUUGUCCGCAAUGGAGGAUUCACCUAUCUUAGGUGUCCUUUCCAAGGCCACACCUGAACUAGCUAUCAAAAACGUUGAAGGUGCCUCAACUGAAGAUGGUGAAAGCAGCAAAUGGUCACCUGUGUUCGAGAUAGUUGAUGAGAUCAACAGUGCCAGUGAAGAAAAGGAAGUAGCUGCUGUUGAAGUGCCAAAGGAAGCCAUCAACGAAGACGAUUUCAGUUCCACCGCCGAGGCAUCUGAUGUCCCUAACAAGAUGAUCCCACCUGCUGUGACAGAGAAGGAAGUCGCUGGUGAUGAUUUGAAGGAAGAUGCUUUCAAUUCCACCGUUGAGGCUUCUGAUGCUCUUAACGAGAAGAUGACCCCAGCUGCUGUGACAGAGAAGGAAGUUUCUGCUGAUGAUUUCCAGGAAGAUGCUUUCAAUUCCACUGUUAAGGCUUCUGAUGCUCUCAACGAGAUGACCCCAGCUGCUGUGACAGAGAAGGAAGUUGCUGCUGCUGAUUUCAAGGAAGAUGCUCUCCAUUCCACCAUUAAGACUCCUGAUGCUCCUAACAAGAUGACACCAGCUGCGGUGACCGAGAAGGAUGUUGCUGCUGAUGAUAUUAAGGAAAAUGCUUUCAGUUCCACUGUUGAGACUGCUGAUGCUCCUACCAAGAUGAUCCCAGCUGCUGUUACAGAGAAGGAAGUCGCUGCUGAUGAUUCGCCGAAGAGUGAUCUGACAGAAGAGGAGAGUGACCUCAAUGGAGUGGGCAGUGAGGAGGAUGACCUCAGUGAGUACAGCAGCGAGGAGGAUGACCUCAGUGAGUACAGCAGCGAGGAGGAUGACCUCAGUGAGUACAGCAGCGAGGAGGAUUCCCUCGAGGAGGAGGAUAUGCAGAAGGUGAGCGACUCUGCUGUUGUGAACUUUUAUUCUGAUGAAGAGGAGGACCUCGAGGAUGAGGAUAUGCAGAAGGCUAACGACUCCACUGAAGCUAACUUUGAUUCUAAUGAAGAAGAGGAGGAUCUCAAGAUGCCGGAGACAGUUGAAGAGCCUAAAGAAAAUGAGGAGAGUGGAGAGGAAGACGAUUUCAGCGCUGAUCUGUCAUCAGAGUUUGACGAUGUUGAAUUCAGUGAUGCUGAAACUGAAAGCCACAGCUCUCAGGUGGCGCUUGAGGCAAUCCAUGCUACUCCUGCCUCAUCUGCAGCCAAGACUGCUGACUCUGCCACCACUAACAUGAGCUUAAGGAAGCUUAAAAGUGCUUUGAAGGAGGGUCUUGAAGAACUUGAAGCCAAGACUGUUGACUCUGUCAUCAUCGAAGAACUUGAAGAAUCCAGCGAGGGCAGUGAGGUUUCUCAGCACGCCGAGACCAUCGUCAAGACACUGCACAAGUUCACCAUCACUGAGGAGAAGAAUGAAGAGUGCGCAAAGCAAAACGUCGCCCUCACUAACAUGAGCCUAAGGAAGCUUAAGAGUGCUUUAAAGGAGGGUCUUAUUGCUGCCAAGGUAAUUACAAUUGACAAACCUUUGUUAAUACCAUUAUCUCAUCUCUGCUAAUUUAUAUGCUGUUCCUUGUACUGACGUACACUGACUUCUGAUGCCUGUGCUUUAUCUGGUGCAGGAAGGGAAGAACCUGGCCAUCACUGCCGAUGAAGGCAGCAGGGUGGCGCUCGCGGAGCUGGACGACAACGCUGAGUGCUGAUCGGCGCAGGAGUUCACUGGAAUCAUCAAGCAUCUGCUGGGACUGAAUGAAGGAGAGAGGGCUCUAGUUGUGCCGUGAUAACUAGGCUUUGCUUUUUUUCAUUUCCAAAUGCUGCCGAGGAGUGAAAUGCUCAAUUUUUUGUGUGUGUGUGGGUCGAGAGCAUCGGGUUGUGAAACCAUGGUUUCUCUGAACCAACCUAUACAGUUCGUGUCGGUUCUGGUUGUCCGUGUUUGUUCUGUGGUAUAUGUCAAAUGGAUAUGGAUUAUAUAAUGAGUAAUAUAUAUACCAGUUCAUUAGGUUGCUGUGCCCUGUUAAUCAAAUGUGAAUCUAGCGAUUUCAACUGCUUGUUUG